AAACAAAACAAAAGUAAAAGGUGGCGAUGCGCCUAGAUUGUAUUGAACGUGCGUUAAUUGAUUACAUGGGGCUCGGGGUCUAUUUAUACCUGAGAUUACAAAAUAUGUCUAUGUUGGACACGACUCUUAUCUCUAACAAACUCUAAGAUACCAUAAGUCUUUGCGGCAGACUUUUGCCCAAACUUAUCUCUUAGGAAAUUACAUAGAAUAUCCUAAUUAAUAGAUACAAUUGUCGUUUCAGGACCGAAUCCGUGUGUGGCAAUCCAUAUGAAGCACAUUAACUCAGCCCGAUGACGUAUACCGAGUCACAUUGUCUGAUUCGGCUGAAUCGGCUACCUUGUCCGACUCGAACUCUGCCGACUUUGGUCGUAGCCGAUUUGGACUUCAGCCGAAUCUUGCUCUUUUUCUGGAACGAUCUACCUCUUUGAUUCCGCUUCGGUUUUAUUUUCAUCUCCGAUACUGAAAUUACCAAAUUUGGUCGCUAACAUCAUCUGCACCAGCGGCAUAGAAAACCGUAGAGUAGACUUGCAGAAAUUCUUCUGGGUGUGUACUUCCAUCGUAUUUCUCUAUUGCUCCCAGUCGGAAUUUCUCGGGCCACCGUACAUCCUGGAGUUCGGGCAUGAAUGCCCUGCAUCCACCCUCUAGAGCAAAAGGUAGCCCGCGAUGCUGACAUCGUCGGGGAGGCUAGUCUGACAAGGAUGAUGACGAGGACGAGGGGUCGCUUGGUUGAGGAGCCUUGCUUGUCGAAUGAUGAUCUCGUCCUCGAUCUCGACCGGGAGCGGGAGACUGGUUGUCGUUAUGACCCGUAUGGUACAAGCGUGUAUCGGCUAGCAAGCAGGUUCAUUGGGAUGAACUAGGAAUCGGCCAAGCGCUUGCUCUCACAAUAGAAAAUUCGGCUAAAGAUGAACCUCUGAUGGCUUCUGCAGCUUAUUUCUGGUCCAACACUCUUAAUGCCUUCAUGUUCAAUCAAGGGCCGAUGACCCACACUCUGCUAGACAUCACCAUGAUCACUGGUUUAGAUAUCACUUCUUCGGCCAAUCCAAUGACCCUGAACUCCAAAAACCAGUUUGAGUUUAAGACAAAAACCAUAGGUGGAAAAACACAACCGAUCAUGUUUUAAAACUGCUAAGGGCGAUACAAUUUGUAUCGGCCAUCUAAAGGCGAUGUCAACUACAUCGGCAUUACAUGCAUCGGCAAACUCAGCCGAUCAUGAAUUAAUCCAAACACUUGUGUAAUAUUUCUUCAAGUAUUUACCAUUAAGUGCUCAUCCAUAAACUUCACCAUCAAGUCCUUGCAACAUGUAAGCUCCCUUGGACACAACCUUAUGAAUUUGAAACGGUCAUUCCCAAUUCGGCGACCACUUGUCGAAUUUUUUAUCUCGAGUUCCUAUCAGCAAAGUUAACUUCCAAACAAGCUCCCCUUCAGAAAAAGAUUUAGGCACCACUUUCUUGUUAUAAUGCCGAGCAACCCUUUCCUUAUCCCUGGUAACCUUUGCAAGAGCUCUCAAUCUUGAUUGAACCAAGUCCUCCUUUUCAUCAGCCAUGAGGUUAUAAUAUUCAUCAGCUGUCAAUUCAUUCUGUAACUCCGUCCUUCUCGAGCUGAUUCUAAUUUCCCAAGGUAAAACUGCCUCAUGUCCAUAAACGAGCUUAUAAGGAGGAACUUGAAUUGAUCCAUGACAAGUCAUCCGAUAAGACCAUAAUGCUUCAGCCAGUCGUGUAUGCCAUUACCGAGGAUAAUCAGAAAUCUUUCUUUUAACCAACUUGAUCAAACUCUUGUUAGACGCCUCGGCUUGCCCAUUAGCUUGUGCAUAAUAUGGAGAAGAAUUCAACAACUUGAUACCCAUGCUAUCAGCAAACUGAACAAACUAUUCGGAUACAAAGAUUGAUCCCUAGUCAGUUGUAAUAGUUUGGUGAAUACCAAAUCGGUAGAUUAUGUGCUCUUUGACAAAUUGUACAGCAUCUCCUGAAUCAACCUUCUUCAAGGGAAUAGCUUCUACCCACUUGGUGAACUAAUCAGUUACAACCAAUAUAAACUUAUGCCCCUUGCUGGAGGGUGGAUUAAUUUGGCCGAUCAUAUCCAUACCCCAUCCUCUGAAUGGCCAUGGCUUGAUAAUAGGAUUCAUAGCCGACGUUGGUGCUCUUUGAAUUGCUCCAAAUUUCUGACAAUCUUGACAUCCCUUGUAGUAUCUAAAACAAUCUUCCAACAUUGUCGAUCAAAAAUACCCUGCACGCCGAAGCAACCACUUCAUCUUGUGAGCUGAUUGAUGAGUACCACAAAUCCCUUCAUUUACCUCGCCUAUCGCAACCUUGGCUUGAUCGGUACUCAAACACUUAAGCAGCACCCCAUCAACCGUUCGAUGAUAUAACUCAUCAUCCAACAAGGUAUAUUUCAAAGCUUUAUAGCGCAAUUUCCGAGAAACCACUUGAGAUGGAUUCUGCAAAUAUUGAUACACAUCAUACCUCCAAUCAUCGGCUGAUAUUGUGGCGACUUCUACUUUGACAUCCUUCACCAUUGGCUUGAACCCUGAUGCCCCCUGAGCCAAAUCAUUAGCUUCAACAUUCUGCUCCCGAGACAUAUGCUUUAAAGUUACCAGCCGAAAUCCAUCCAUCUACUCUCGGCACUUCUCAUUGUAGACCAUCAAUGUAUCAUUCUUACAUUCAUAUUCUCCUGCUAAUUGACUGAUCACCAACAAAGAAUCACCCAUAAUUUUGAUAGCAUCGGCUUCAGCUUCCUUAAGCAAUUGCAACCCCUUGAGAACUGCUUCAUACUCAGCCUGAUUGUUAGUUGCAUAUGGCUUAAUAGUAUAGGCAAACUUGAAACUUGCCCCCUGAGGGGAAAUGAUAACCAAGCCGAUACCACAACCAUGAGUGCACACUGAUCCAUCAAAAAAUAAAGUCUAAGGCACAAUGUCAACUGAGCCGAUUGAGUCAUCACGAUGAUCUACAAUAAAAUCGGCUAUAGCUUGUCCCCUUAAUCGCCUUCGGUGACUCAUACCGAAAAUCAAAUUCCGUUAAAGCAAAUAUCCACUUUCCAACCCUUCCUUUCAAAAUUGGAGCCAACAGCAUGUACUUAACCACAUCGGCUUUACAUACCACAGUGCAUUCAUUGGAUAAUAGAUAAUGCCUUAAUUUUGUACAGGAGAAAUAUAAAUACAAACAUAACUUCUCCACGGGAGAAUACCUCGUUUCUGCGUCCAAGAGCCUUCGGCUUAAAUAAAAUAUAGCCCUCUCCUUCCCUUUGAGCUCCUGAAUCAAAACCGAGCCGAUUGACUUCUCACCAGCCGACAAAUAUAACUUGAACGGUGCCCCCUUUUGUGGAGAUAUCAAAACUGGCGGGGAACUAAGAUAUUUCUUGAUAUUAUCCAAAGCCUUCUGUUGCUCUGCCCCCCAAGUGAACUUUUGAUCGGCUUUCAAUCUCAACAAAGGUGUAAAAGGCUCUAAUCUUCCAGAUAAAUUAGAGAUAAACCUUCUAAUGAAAUUUAUCUUGCCGAUCAACUCCUGCAACUUCUUCUUGUCCUCCGGAGGUUAAAUCUUCUGAAUUGCAUUAACACUCCUUUGAGUUACCUCAAUCCCCCUCCCAUGAACAAGAAAUCCCAAGAACUGUCCAGCUGAUACACCAAAAGCACAUUUUGUUGGGUUCAUCUUCAAGCCAUACUUCCUAGUUCUCUCAAAAACCUUCCUCAAAUCGGUUAUGUGAUUUUCUAUUUCCUUUGACUUGACAACCACAUCAUCAAUAUAAACCUCAACCAACCAGCCGAUCAGAUCAUGGAAUAUGUAAUUCAUGGCCCGCUGAUAUGUAGCCCCAGCACUCUUCAAGCUGAAAGUCAUCACAACCCACUCAAACAAGCCGAUUGCACCAAGACACCUGAAAGCUGUCUUAUGAAUAUCUUCUUCUGCCAUAAAGAUUUGAUUGUAACCUGCAUUGCCAUCCAUAAAACUUAAUAUCUUAUGCCCUGAAGCAGCAUCAACCAACUGAUCAGCAAUCGGCAUUGGGUACUCAUCCUUUAGGGUAGCCUUGUUUAAAUCCCGAAAAUCAAUGCACACCCUGACUUUGCCAAUUUUCUUGAUAACUGGAACUAUAUUAGAAACCCAUUCGGCAUACCAGCAUGGACGUAUGAAGCCAGCAUCAUAUAAUCGUGCAACCUCAGCCUUGACAGCAUCGAGCAUAUCGGCUUUACAUCUCUUUGGUGGCUGCUGAUAUGGUCUAACCCCUGGUUUGAUAGGAAGCCGAUGUUCGACAAUCGAUCGGCUGAGUCCUGGCAUCUCAAAAUAUUCCCAAGCGAAGCAAUCUCUGUACUCCUUUAAAAGCUCUAUCAACUUGGUUCUGAAUUCUGGAGAUAAAUUCUUACUAAUGAAUGUCGGCCUUGGUCUAUCUCCUGGACCAAUGUCAAUUUCCUCCAAAUCAUCAGCUGACAUGAAACCCUCUCCUUGCUUGUCAUCGAGAUCAUCUACUGUGUCCUUGGUGUAGACGUUUGAACCCUCCAAGACGCCCUCAACAUAAUAAUUUGGGCUCUCCAUCUUCAAUUAGCUGUAUAUCACAAUCGGACACUUUUAGAAAAUCUCCAUCCCAAACUUUUCCAGACAGGCAAUCAAUACCAUCCAUCUCCCAAAGAGCUAAAUUGGCACUAGCAACGUUAACUGACAUGUCGGCUGGCACGAUCUCAACCUUGUCACCUUGCCAUUGAAUCAAGCACUGGUGCAUGGUCGAAGGAAUACAACAAUUUGUGUGAAUCCAAUCCCUUCCAAGCAACAGGCUAUAGGAACCCUUCCCAUCGAUGACAAAAAAAUGUUGUAGGAACAGUUUUACUCGACUGUCAGCUCCACAUUCAAAACUCCUUUAGUCUCUGACGAAUUGCCACCAAAAUCCUUGAGAACCAUGUUAGUCUUGGUAAGAUUAUCUGGAUUUCUGCCCAACUUUCUGAAUGUAGCAUAUGGCAUCAAAUUCACAGCAGCUCCUCCAUCAACCAUCAUCUUGGACAUCGGCUUCCCAUUAACAAAUCCAUUGAUAUACAAUGGCUUGAGAUGCCGAUUUUCUGUCCCUUCUGGCUUCUCAAAAAUCGCUUGUUCUGGUGACAAAACCAAUCUAGCAGAAACUUCUUCAACGUCAUCAACAUCGGCUUGCCUAGCUUCAAAUUCUGCAGGUAGCAUAAAAAUCAUAUUCACCGAUGCAGAUGCAGUAGCCUUACCCUUAAGCAAUCUUCUCGCCUUGUUAGCUUCAACUUCAUCGGCUGUUGUAACCGUGCUCUUAACACGCCACUCCUGCUUGGUCUUUGUUUUCCUCAGCUGAUGAUUAAUCUCUUGUUGCACCUCCUGGAAGCGUUCUCUAUUCCUCAACCUUUGAACCCUUCUCUUUUGAUUCUUUGUGAAAAUACCAGAAGGACACCACUGAGUCUUCCUAUCCUCAUCGUCAUCCUGGUAGCAAUCUUGAUUAACCGGGCCCAACCUCUGAUGAACAGACACCCUUUUAUGACCUAGCCGAUUACCUCUAUUGUUGGAUCGGCUUGAACUUCCUGUAUUAUCACUGCACCCAGGGCAAUCUUCAAUUGAUGGUAGCCUCAUGCCUUUGUUCCAACAGAAUCUGAAAAACUCACAGUCCCAAUGAGGAUCAAAUCCACCAUCAUCUUCUUCACAAUACCUCUCCUGCUGCUUGUCAUACUUUCUUUGAUACUUGUUGAUAAUUCUAGCUGAAUUCAUCUGAAAACAUUGAUUCUUCCCCCCAUCGGCUGUCCUCCCAGAAGUAUGUACCAUGUUAAUAGGGAAAGGAUUACCAUCAACCUUCAUCGGCUUCUUUGAGUCAUCAAAUUUGACCUUUCCCCCUUCAAUGGCCGCCUGGAUUUGCUGCCUGAAAACCUUGCAAUCAUUAGUAGAAUGAGAACCAGAAUUAUGCCACUUGCAAUAUUUUCUCUUUCCUAGUUCCUCAGCCGAUGGAAUUAUAUGACCAGCAGGAAGUUGAAUCUAUUUCUCCCGAAGCAACAAAUCAAAAAUCUUGUCAGCCUUGGUAAUAUCAAAGUCAAACCUUUCCUCUUUUCCAGAACUCCUCACCCAUUGGCAUGGUAUGACUUUCUUGCUCCUGACCCAUUCGGCUGCUGAUACUUCGGAAUCAUCAUCCUCUUCAGAAUCAUAUAUAUAGGGAUAUACAUGAUUGAUCUUCUUGAAAUUCUUCUUAGCUUCAGCAAAUCGUUGCUCAUGAAAAGUUACCUUCUGUGCAAGAUGUGAUAGACUCUCGAAAUCCUGGGAUGAAAAUUUCUCCUUAAUCGGUGCUAUCAAACCCUGAAAAGCCAGAUCGGCUAGCUGAGAAUUAGUCAAAGACAAACUAUAACACCUAUUCCUCAUCUCCCUGAAUCUCUGGAUAUAAUCUUGCACAGACUCAUCAUGUCUUUGCCUUAUUGCCGUUAGAUCUAAUAACUUCAUCUCAUGUAUUCCACUGUAAAAAUAGUUGUGAAACUGUUUCUCCAAAUCGGCCCAACUAUUGACAGAGUUAUAUGGUAGAGAAGAAAACCAUGUGAACGCCGAUCCGGACAAAGAUAAAGGAAACAACCUAACUCUCAAGGUGUCAAUAGCCGAUGCUUCACCACAUUGAGCCAAAAAUCGGCUGAUAUGUUCAUAAGUUGAAACAUUAUCCUGCCCUGAAAACUUAGAGAAAUCUGGGACCUUGUAUCGGCUAGGCAAUGGAACCCUUUCAAACCACUCAGGGUAAGGAUGACGAUAUAAGUUUCCAGUGUCCUUUGGCUUGAGUCCAAACUGCUCCCUCAUCACAUCUGCAAUCAUAUCAGCCCAAGGCCUCUGCUGAGGUACUCCUUGCACAUGCUGCUGAAUCGGCUCGAACUGAUUAAGUUGAGGAGCAAACUGGUUAAAUUGCGGCAACGUCUGCAGUUGAGGUGAUCCACCUUGCUGAUGCUGGACAUGGGGCGAUGGAGGCUGAUACUGAUAAUUCAAGUUACCUCCCUGAUAGUUCUGGAAAUUUGGCUGUAUAUUACGUACCAAAUGCUCAGGAAUAACUUGGGCUACAACCGAUUGAUCUGGCUGCACAUUAUGAACCAAGUGCUCAGGAACAACCUGGUUGACCACGUGCUGUACUUGCCGAUUAUCAGGUGUUCUCAACCUUGCUGAUGUAUGUUGCAUUCUGCUAUUGAAUCGGCUGAACCGUCUGUUGCCUCUGUGGUGUUUGUUGAAUCGGCAAUGACUGUACUGGGUCGGCUGUUGUCGGAGUUGGUAAAAACAUCGCAGCAACAUGCUCCUGAGUCAGUCGAUUGAUAUUUUGCCCAACAUGCUGUGGCUGUUCCCUGGUCAACAAUCGAGGAUUAACCAUCUGCCUAGGUGCCGACGAUGGUGCAGCUUGUGCAGGGGUUGAAACCGGUGCCGUCGGCUGAACUGGCGGUAUAUUGGAAGCAUCCUGCUAGUUACCUGUGACCAAAGGCCUGUAGUUUGGGAAAACACCACCUGGUAGAUAAACUGGCCCCGUGGCUUGGUGCUCGGCUAUUGUACCAUUGACAACAGUCUUCACCAUAUUUGUUAAAGUAUUAACAAGUACUCCAGAUUGGUUGAUCAAAGCAUGUUGCACAGCAUAGUCAAUCUGGUCCUGGAAGUUGUUAAACUGCAAUUGUUCUUCACUGCCAUCUCCUACAACUCCAACUUCACCAUCCUUAGGGUAUGUGCCUUUAUCACCCGAAUCGUUUGUACUACCUUUAGCUGCUUGAGUGUCACCAUCUUUUGACGAACCCAUUCCAGGCAUAUCAGCUACUAGUUUCAGCUUAUACUUUUGAAUGACUUUUCCUUGUUUGGUUUCUGUUAAUGAGUUCAUGAAUUGUUGUUGCGUAUGUUUCAUCAUCAAUUCAAACUCCUUCUUUUGUUCUGGUGAAAGCUUGUCUACAGUGAUCGGAAUAAUGUUUCCUUCAUUAACCUCAGACUCACUAGUUCCUGUGGGCUUUGGAAUCUUGCUCUGAGGAGGGAUCACCGGUUUUGUUGCCAGUGACUGUGGUGCUUUCUCAGCAGAAGAUGUUGUCGAAACUCGGUCCCACCGGGCGUGCCAAAAGCGUGUUGAUAAUAAAAAUACGAGGCCUGGGAGAUCUGCUUAACUCCAGUGCAGAUCCAAAAUCUUGCCUUUUAGGUUUGUCAGCGUGCCAGUUGAUUUGAUCCUGCAAUCAACAAGAAAUAAUAGACAAAGAAACCGCGGUUAAAUCCAUAAAUGAUAGCCGAUCGGCCAGUCGCCGAUGACAUAUCAUUUAUAUUUGAGCCGAUGUCAUAUGUUAAUCGAUCGGCAGUUGUUAAUAAGUAAAUUAAAACUAAAUCUACUCGAUUGGCUAUAGAUAUUAACAGUAUAUAAUCUUUAUGUCGAUAUAUACUUAAAUCAAGUGAUUGGGAUAGAUCGGUCGCCAUGCCGAGACAAUAUAAAUCACUUAGAUCGGAAUAUAUAUUAACAAUGAGAUUAUAGACGUUUACAGCAUAGCCGAUCAGAUAGAUCUAGCGUGUACCGGCUAAUACUCCGAUACCACUCUAUAUUAAGAUAUUAAAGCAAGUAAAAUAUAUCAAACAGGAAGCUUAAUACACCUAAAUGCAAUAGGAUCUUAACAUAAAGGGUGGAUCUAGUAUGACAAUUAAGUAUAUAAAACAUAAAGCUAAAUCAGGUAAGAUCGGCUGAAACCCCGAUACUACCCUAAUCAACAACCAAGAAGCAGGCUAGAGAUUAUAGUUCUAAGCACGACUUAUGAGGUCAAACUUAACUGAUGCAGCCAUAAGUAUGAAAAGAAAGACAAUAUCUAGAAAAUCAAGCCAUUGGAAGCUUCAUAGAGUGAUAAAUAUCCUAUAUAAUCAAAGUCAAUAUCGGUAUUUAACCUAUUCGGCUGUCUUCUAGGAGUAUAUGCUAGCCGAUAGAAGGUUAAAUAAUGAUAUUGCCAGAGAUUAUAUAAGAUAUAUGAUAACUCAACAACUUACAUAAACGAGAUUAGAGUGUCAUAAAGAUGGAAGCACUAAUCUCGAGAACGCAAGCCGCCAUAACAAGUUUUACCUAUAGUUGAAGAUCGAACCCGAUGCAGCUCAACCCAAAAGCAAGAACUCAUUGAAAACAAAACGAAAGUAAAAGGUGGUGAUGCGCCGAGAUUGUAUUGAACGUGUGUUAAUUGAUUACAUGGGGCUCGGGGUCUAUUUAUACCCGAGAUUACAAAAUAUGUCUAUGUUGGACACGACUCUUAUCUCUAACAAACUCUAAGAUACCAUAAGUCUUUGCGGCAAACUUUUGCCCAAACUUAUCUCUAAGGAAAUUACAUAGAAUAUCCUAAUUAAUAGAUACAAUUGUCGUUUCAGGACCAAAUCCGUGUGUGGCAAUCCAUAUGAAGCACAUUAACUCAGCCCGAUGACGUAUACUGAGUCACAUUGUCGGAUUCAGCUGAAUCGACUACCUUGUCCGACUCGAACUCUGCCGACUUUGGUCGUAGCAGAUUUGGACUUCAGCCGAAUCUUGCUCUGUUUCCGGAACGAUCUACCUCUUGGAUUCCGCUUCGGUUUUAUUUUCAUCUCCGAUACUGAAAUUACCAAAUUUGGUCGUUAACAUCAUCUGCACCAGUGGCAUAGAGAAUCGUAGAGUAGACUUGCAGAAAUUCUUCUAGGUGUGUACUUCCAUCGUAUUUCUCUAUUGCUCCCAGUCGGAAUUUCUCGGGCCACCGUACAUCUCAGAGUUCGGGCGUGAAUGCCCUGCAUCCACCCCCUGGAGCAAAAGGUAGCCCGCGAUGCUGAUGUCAUCGGGGAAGCUGGUCUGACGAGGAUGAUGACGAGGACAAGGGGUCGCUUGGUUGAGGAGCCUAGCUUCUCGAACGAUGAUCUCGUCCUCGACCUCGACCGGGAGAAUGAGACUGGGAAUUCCGAUCUCGUCGGUUGCCGCCGUUCCGCUCCUGAUCUCGACGAUUAGCUGCUUGGUCUCGCUGGAAGUCGUUAUUGGCGUCGCCGCGGCGACCGCUGUGGGCCCGUCGGUCCCGAUCUUCAUUAGGUGCACCUCCCCGACCAUCGUCCCUUCUCUGUCGUGGAGGAGUGCGGUGACGAUGUCGUCGGGCAGCAGCGUUAUCCCCGCGGUGUGAAGGAGAGCGAUGUCGAUGGCGAUCAUUGUUGUCACGAUCUCUUCUGUCCCUCCACCGGUUGUCUAAGUGAUCGCGAAGAUCACAGUUCUCGGGACGCGGUGGAGUAGGGUCUCGUCUCUCUCGAGGUGACUGGUCACCGGAGGGACGCGUUCCGUUGGGAUUUUCUCCGUCCGCAUCUCCUGCAGUUGGCCCUUCAUCCUCAUGUUGUUCCGGGUUGACCGCUGCUUCGGCAAAUGCGGCGUUGAGGUUAGUCACGGUCUCCCACAGUCGCGUCGCCCAUUGGUUGACGUCGGGGUUUGUGACCGGAUCAAAAGGACUUUCACUCAAUAUCGCAUCCAGGUUUCGCAACUGUUGAGCGGGCAUUCUCACUGCUGCGGACGCACUUGUUUCAGUGUUGUCGACCACGUUUACAUCUCAUGGCAACUCCGAGGAGGAUUCGUAGUCUUCUAGGAGGUGUAGCACAGAUGGCUCAUUUGGAUUAGUACCAACAUAUCCUACGAACCGAUUUGAUGUCAUCACUGCAUCUCGCUCCUUGGCAACACACGGAGUUUGAACUCGCGAUUGUUGGACGCGAUGAUGCGGUGGUUUCAGAGUUCUGAGGAAAAUCCUGCAGCUUGUGAUGUCGUGAGACCUAGAUUUGUGAAUUGGGCAGUAGGUGAUUCUUGUCGGUGAAGUGCGCUGAAUCUCACGCUCCCAGCAGGCGUAGAGUUCAGCUUUCACGUGGAGUAUCACCGGGCAGUCCUCGAGAAUAUGUUUGGAUGUCUUAUGCACAGGAAACCAAGGUCUCAGCUUUAGGGUGGUAGUCAUUGUCGGCUCUGAUUUUUUGUACAAAGGACAAAAUUCGGCCGCUUGAGGAUUCCUCCCAGGUGUUGGGACCGUCGAUGUUCCGUUCUCCACUUGGGUGGGAGGAAUUGUCGGCGGGGCAUCGUUUCUCGGAGUCUUAACCGUGCCUUUCUCGUUCCCGAUAGUGAUUGGUCCAGUCGAGAUCGGUGUAACGGUAUAGACCGGAAAGACGAUAGAUCCGACUUGAGUCAAUACCAGCGAUGUCGAGGUAGAGGCUCCUUGAUCGACGCCGGUGUUGGUACUGUUGUCGGAAAGUCUUGAAGUCAUACCGGUAUAUCCUUGAGCACCAAGUCUCCCUACCUAGCGCGCCACUGUCGACGAGUGAUACUCGCGGACCGGAUAAGUAGAGUAUUGGGGUACAUUGGAAUGAGGGUCUAUGUAGUACGACAUCAAGCAGAUAAAAGACAAGGAUUAUACUGGUUCAGGCCCCUUAUCAGGUAAUAACCCUAGUCCAGUUUAUAUGAGAUUGAUGCUGACGAGAACAAAUUACAAAGAGAGUAGUCAAAACAGAUGGUACAGACGAGAUCGUAGUCGAGGGAUUCGACGAGAUCUCCCGGCGAGUUGGCUCCACGUACUCCGGCUUCGUAACUUUGGUGGGUGUGUUGGCGAUGGAAUUCGAUCCCCUGAACCUCUCUCAGGGGGUCCCUUUUAAACCAUGGAUCAUCUUGAUCCCCAAGGAAGGUUUGAGGAUAUCGGACCUGGUACGGUAUAACAGAAACUCUAUCCCUUCCGAGUAGGACUUUGGAAAUCACUUGACUCGUAGAGAUAUUUCCUAUAAUUUGAAACGGUUUCCACGCGACAUAUACGGAAACAACCCGUAUACGUGAAGGUAUACCUUAUCGGUAUAUUCCAUAAGUCAUAGGAUAUGAGGUAUGCCUUAUCCGUAACCCUGAUAGUAUUGACUCAAACUAUUUGGAUCAUUGCAGGCUACAAUAAUAUGAACUGUUUAUUUCAUAAAAGAGUGUAUACAUCAAUUUUAUCAGCAUUGGUCAGAAAAUAACCUAACUAAUUACUUUGCACCAAUCAAAAACUCAGGAUGAGAUGAAAGAGCAAUCUGCAAUAUUAUGGUAACUUCGACGUAUAAUUUGACAAAAAAAAUUAUAUUAGAGCAAUUACCCAUAAACCAUAAUAGUCUUCUGAACAUUAAAUCACAACAUGAGGUACAAAAUAGCCUGAACUGUGGUUUGCAUUCAGGAAAGACCAAUUAAUGUUAUGAAUUAGGAAAUAAAUAUACAAAUCUAUAAUGCUAACAUCAAGUAAUGUAAAUCUUAAUUGAUCAUGAUGGUAGAAAAACUGAAAAACCAUGCUCCGAAGGUUUACCUUAGUAUAAGUAGAAGGGUGAAGGUCCCUUGCAAACAGUACAAAGUGCAAAUUUGACAUCCCCUGCAACUGAAUUUUUAAGAAGAACUUCCAUCUACACUGCAGAAAGCCACAAACUCAUAUAUUUUGGAGUGCAAAAUAUCUAUAUCAUUAUCUAUUUUGAACAAAUAUUGGGCCCGUAAUAUUGCUCUUACCUUUACAAAGAAUCCUCCUGCUAGCAUGAAUGCCAUGAUUCAUGACUGUAACUGAAGGUACAGUUUUUGCCUUUUUUUUAUAUCCAAGAGGGUAGCUCCAAUUGCCAAUCCUAAAUUCCUAAUCCCUGCAUAUUACUUCCUGGGUCACAGAUUUCUAAUUUCCAGGUAAUAUAUAAAUUUAAAGAUGAACUAAACUAAUUGCCAGACAAUAUAAUAUUUGCAUAUUACCUUAGCUAUAUGAUGUAGAAGCUGAAUUAUCCUGAGAGUCGUCGUUGAAUCCGGCCUAGACGUUGGCUCAUCAACAAUGGUAGAUUAUGAAAACUACCUUUCAAGGCGAAAUAUUUCAUAUAUGAUAUGGCUCAGCGAGGAUGACACGCAAGGAGUGGGGUGUGACCCUCGUCGCGUUCCACCUCGUCGCCAACCACAGACCACCUCGCGAACAUAGAAUAUACAAUGAAAGAUUAGCACUUCAUCGAACUGCUAUUUAAAUAAAAAUUAGUGUAAAUAUUAGUUUAUAACUUAAUGCAAAGCUUAUUUAAAUGAAAAUUAUUCUGUUUUACAUACUAACCUUGCAUCACAUAUCUGUAAUGUUCUUUUUAAACUUUCAGCAUUCAUUGACCUUGGGCGCGCAAUAGCUGUGGAACUGAUCUCAGUAAUGAUGCCCAUAAUAUUUGCUUGCAUAUGAAAGUAGAAUAGAUCACAGUCUUAUAAGGCAAUGUACAAAUAGAUAAAAUGAAAAUAUUAUAGUAAUAUAUCAUACCAACAUAGAAUAUGUUUUUUAUCAACAAGAGAGGGGAUUUCAUGGAAAGGCGUCAAUGAAAAUGUUAUGGCAGGGGAAAUCAGGUGGGAUGUCAAUGCAUUCUUCUAAGGUUGUCCAUUUACUGAAUAAAUUCAUGAAGUCGUUUGAAACUGGUUUGUAAGUCUUGUUUGCAUCUUUAACAAUGAACGACUCUAUGUAUUAGACCUUCCCUUCAUGGAUGAGAGGUUUCAGAACCUCAAUUGCAACUCGGUAUAUCUGAACAUGAAUGCUAUUGCCCUACAUAUUUUUAAUAGGAUAUACUAUAUUAGUAAUAUGUUUGGUAUACUAAUGUACACAUACAAUAAGAGGCAUAUGAGUAGUGAUUUGAUAAGUACCACUUCAUCAAGUAAGACAAGGUCUGCAGGAUGUUUGUAUCAUCAUUGAUCACGAAAAUGCCAAAGUUUAGAAACCCUUGCGAGAAUCUUUUUGUCUGAAUCCCCAGGGUAAAGCUGUGAAAUGAGCAUGUGUGCAAAAAGCAUAAACAUUUUUUUUCGCCAGGAGCAUAAACAUUUCAGUAUCUAAAUGGAGUAAUGCUAUGCGAUGAAAAGCGAUGAUAAAAAGAACAUUACUUACAAUUAUAAGAGCCUUAUAUUGCAGGAAAUAUAUACUAUACAAUACUGUCUAGGUAUCUAUUUAUUAUAAAAUGUAUGUAUAAAAGCAUUGGGGGGGGGGGGGUUCUUGUUGACGAAAAACACUACGUAUCAAGCUGCGAAGCCUGCAACAACAGUAUAUUUGCAUUAUUAUAGUAGCUUUGGUAGGAAAAAAUGAAACACAGUAUGCAGCAAUGUUGAGAGCAGCACCGUUGUCAACGUAGCAGGUAGUAUCUCAGUGUAAACAACCUAUAGCCCUAGAUUAUAAUGAGGGGUAUUUUUUACCUUGCACCAUAAUCCUUUAUCUCUCUUAAAUAACUUCCUAUAUCCCUAAUUAUAUUAUGGAAUGGAGGGAAUAUUAAAAUCUGUGGAGACUGUUGGAAACAUAGAAGCUCAUUGCAUGAGACUGUCAUAUCUGUACUAUGUUCAUAAGCUUCUCGUGUGAAGUAUUUUUUACGACAAAGCUUACUUUUAGAGAAUGAUAAAAAGUUUCAUAUUUAUUUUAUAAAAGUUUACUAAGAAGAGUACAUGUAGCAUAUUUUCGUAUGCUACAUAUAACAUAUUUUCCACAUGUUAUAUAUAUUAUCUAAAAGGAAUUCUAUACAAAAUUAAUUGUUAUCUUUACCGUCUUCAGAUACAUACUAUUUUUAAUAUAUUUUAAUUUUCCCAUGCAUAAUAUUUUCUCAUAUGACAAAGUUAUAAACAUUAGUUAUAGUUGCACAACAAAUUACUAUAUUAUCAAUGGUAGAUAUUCCACACCUUCCAUGCCCACGUGUAAAUUCAACCUUCCACACCAAUUAAACGGUCACUUGACGAAAAGGAUAUAUUUGGAAGGGAAAUUUUUUUCAAAAUUCAGGGUAUGCAAGUGAGUGAAUAAAACUCGGAGCAUGGAAGUGAUAGCAUAUGAUCUUAAGGGCAUACAAUGAUUUUUCUUUAAACUGAAACUGACCACCAUUAACAUGAUUACGGUUACGAGAAGUGCUUCUAUGCUCCUCGAAAAAAAACCUGCACGAAAAUUAAAUCACAUCAAUGGCUCAGAUUAAAAGGUGAUUACUAGGAUAAACCAUCAUUAGCAAGGGGCAAUUUUGUCCUGGAAGUAAAAGCCCACAUCCAGCCCAGGCCGAUCGCUCCAUCGAUCUGGGAGGUUGACAUGGCAACAGGGCUGGGUGGUGAAGAUCACCAGAUCGGCCGGCCAUGUGCGAGGAACGGGAGGGGCGACGAGCUGUGCGGGCUGUUGUCGUUGCGCUCGGCUUUGAGACGGGUUAUAGGACGAUGAGAUAGAGGACCAGUUCUCGAAGGGUAGUGUGGAAGCGACAUACCAGAUGGAGCAUGGCCGCAUCCGCUACGGCGGCCGUCCAUGAUGACACAAACUCCCGGCGAAAUACUCGCUUCUUGUACCUAGCGAAACCUUGAUAGAAAUCCCAACGAUUCAACUGUUUUUUGAUUUAGUGGUUUUCGUCCUUUUCAAAAGCUGAACCUUUUGGCCGCUUGACAUGGGUGUUGCAGAUCUUAUCAGAAUAUCAUUCCAGGUGCAUUGCGAGGGAAUCGCCAUCGUGAAUCGAUCGAUGAGAGGCGGCUGGGUACGGGAUGGGUAUGGAUAUGAACUUUUGCUUCCUGGACGAAAUUGCCCCUCGCUAGUGAGGUUUAUCCUGUUAAUCACUUUUUAAUCCAGACCAUUGAUGUGCUUUAAUUUUUGUGCAGUUUUUUUUAUUGAGCAUAGAAGCACUUCUUGUUACGAAGAAACAUGCUUAUGUGAUCUUCAGAUGACAUGCAAUAGUUCUUAGAUUGAAGAAAUCUGAGAGAAUUCCAUGUGAGUAUCUUUGAACUGUGAUGUAUAUAUAGGAGUACAUACCUUUUGCUUGUACAUUUGAAACUUAGCCUCGGUGUUCUGCUCCUAUUUGUAUCAAGUCAUAUCCACUUCUCGUUACGAAGCAGAAACUGGUGCUCUUUUAUCAACUUGUGAGGCUGAAUAUAUCGCUACAACGGCUAGCAUGUUCCAACAGACAUUUUGACCCAAAUUAAAUCCAUUUUCUUUUGUUCUGAAAAUUGAUGUUCAGAUUGAUGCCUAACAUGCAGUGGAGAUUUCAAUUUUACUGGUAUUCUACCUGUUUAAAUCUUGCUUAUCCCAAACAGUUCCUCUACGAGAGAUUUUGAUUCACUGUUAUCUUCCGUGACAAACAAUUACAGGUGUACCUACAUAACAAGCUGUUCUGAAGCAGGUCCUGAAGCAUCUCUCUGCUGAAUUCGUGUUGUUUGCAUAUACGGAACUAAAUGAAAUUCCAGAUAUGUUUCUGCAUACUAUGCUCCACGAACUAGGAAUCCUUACCACUUCCUCUGAAUGCUUUGAUAUAUAAAAAAAACUGCAUACUUUGAUAUUCACUUGAUUGUGCAUCACACCUGACACUUUACAACAGCACAAGUGAUGAAAGUAAUGUUUUUCAGAACUGAUACACCUCAAACUCCCUCAGAAGCACUGUUUACCAACCUGAACUUUUACAUGCCAACACAAAGGAAUUCAGAGCUGGUGCAACACAAUUUUGUUCUUGGCAUCGAGCAUCGUUCAACGAUGGUGAACUGAACGUGGCACACAUCACAGGGCAUCCAAUAUGUAGGAGAAUACUUAGCAGUAACACAAAGAGAAGUGACAUGCAUAUGUAUAAAUAUAAAUCAAACACGGGGCUUUAGACACGGAAAACAACCAAAUUACACAUAAUAUACGCAGAUCCAAAGAGAGCAGUGCAAAGUUACUGAAACAUUGGCCCCAGAGAGUGAGGUUACAGAGUGCACUCAAACACCUAAAACAACAUAGCACGUCGCUGCUGCUCUUAUUGACUUCCUAGCUAACCCCAUUGUCAUGAUUAAGGGUAACAAACUGACCAUUGCCCUAUGCAAGUAAGAUGAUCAAUGUCCAUCUGCCAGUGAAUCUGAGUACAAGGGAACAUAGGGAAGAUAAUGCAGUGUGGAAACAACUCCAAGCUCACCUAUAUAAUGCACUUCCCUGCUAUCCAUUUCAUAGGAUAUCAAUAUUCCUUCAUUUGGCAAAACAAAGAAAAUGAUAUUCCGUUCCGGGUGAAUCGAGACAACUUAGUAGUCAUGUCCAAAAUCUUUUCUCCUUCUUCCAAAUAGAUGUAAAUGGCUGACAGUGUGCUUCAAGGUCCACUGAUCACUGCUGUAGUCCUGAAGAACCCAUACUGAUAAGCUGUUAUACAGAUCGUAGCGAUCGGUAUUUACGAAAUACAGUCGACCUUGAGACAGAUCUACGAACCCGUCAUCGACAUUGCAGUCAGGAUCAUCAAGAGUUUGUGGCAUUGGAAUGGUCCUCCAAGAAUUCCCCUCCACAUCCACCACUGCAACCACAUACCCCAUGGUGAUCAAAUGCAGCAUCCCGUUGAAGAACACGCUCCUCCAAUCAUCAAGCACCCCGAUUUGAUGGCCCCAACCAAUGUCCUUGUGACUCCACACUCCAGUUUCAGAUGAAUAGAUCUCCAGCGCGUUGAUAGUUGCAUCAAGUUCACCAUCAUCUGCUUCCCCAUCCGCGUUCGCGGGAUUCUUUUCCACCAACUCGAACACAUGGAAAUGGGAGGAGGAGACCGCCGGAUCGAACCCCAAGUAGGCAAUCUGUCUCUUGUCAGACCUUGCGGAUUCAGGCAGGACGACCCAUUGCCGAGUGGCGUGAUUAACCACUAGGUAAUCGAAUCUCCGCCGGUAAUCGGAAAUCCUCCAGCAGCGGCAGAGGAGGCCGUUGCAGGAAUCGAGGAGGUCGAGGGCGCGGCACCGGGGAAGGAAGUGGAGCGAGGGGUCGAGGAAGAGGGGGCGGCGUAGUGGUCGAAGAAUCCGGCGAUGGCGCCGUGGAGGUGGUAGCGAGGGAGGCGGUGGUCGGAGUCGGGGUGGGAGAUGACGCGGCGCCACCGCCAGCAGACGCACUUGAGGCCGCAGAGCGUCUUGUAGGGCACGCGCGAGAGGACCUCGACGAGGAGGUCGUCGGUGAGGUUGUCGUCCGGCGGCGGGAUCCCCUCCCUGCGCGCCUCCUUGGGGGGGGGGGGGGGGGGGGCGCAAGCGCGCGCUCAGGGAACGAGGUUGUUCAUGGGGGUGGGGCGCGUACGCGCGCGCGCGUCAGUGGGGCCCCAUGUCCCCAUCCCCGCGCGCCCCCUUUUUUUUUUCUUUUCCUGUUCGUACUUUUUUUUUCGAUUUUUUCGCCUCCGGACGCGUUUUUCCUUUUUUUUUGGCCCUUUUUUUCGAUUAUUUUUCAAUCUUUUGCACAUUUCUUUAUAAAUGUAGAAUUGAAAGUUUAUAAUUUUGACUCUUGACUUGAAAGUUUUCAAAUUUGAGAUGAAAGUUUCAAAUCUAAUGUUUUAAAUUUGUGUUGAAAGUUUCAAAUUUGAGAUAAAAAGUUAAAAGUUUUUAAAUUUUUACUUCAAAAAUUCAAAUUUAAGGCAAAAGUUUUCAAAUUUUGACUUCACGUAUAGAUUUAUUUUUAAUUUUUUAUUUAAAAAAUCUUAAAAAAAAUCUUAUCUUAAUUAUCGUCAUAUCUAACACUAAUCGGAUUAGUUAUUUUAUUGUACGCGUUUCUGGAAAAAAAUCGCAAAAAAGAAAAAAAACUCACGGUGCCCACCAAACUCACGCGCAUGUAACGAGGGCCCGCCACGUGGCACGCGCGCGACUUCUCUAAGUCGCAAAGUCGCAUGUACGCACUAAUUAGCAAAACCGAGACAUGACAGUUGCAAUGUUCUCCCAAAUCUAAACAAUUUUGCUCUAUAUUUUAUCGGUAAAUUUUCUCCCAAAAUUUAUUAAAUGUAAAUGUAGUAUAAUUAUAAUGUAAUUUUUUUAAGAAACAAUACAAACGCGGGCGACCACAAUAUGCGUGCACUCACCGCUAUGAGCACACGCACACCCUACCCUAUUAACCUAAAGUUUUCUAAUUAGCACGUAGCUAAAAAUCUGGCGCGCAAUUUUUGAUGAGGCUGUUUUUUUUUUUUUUUGCGCUAGCAAUGACGUGCGCCGGAUUAGAAGAAAAAAUCGGAUAAUCACGGUUUUAAUUAAUCUUUCAUUCCUUUUAGGAGGUUUGUUUCUUUUUUCCUUACAAAAUAAAAAUCUAUACGUGAAAUUUAAAACUUUCUAUAGAAGAAAAUUAAAUCACACCUGUAAUUUAAAACGUCCAACUCAAAAUUUUGAAUUUUCAACUCAAAUUUGAAAACUUUCAACUCAAAAUUUAAACUUUCAAGUUAAUUUUAAAAACGUUCAACUCGAAUUUGAAAACUUUCGAUCCAAAUUUUUAAAACUAUCAACUCGAAUUUUGAAAACUUUUAAGUAAAAUUGAAAACUUUCAAGUAAAAAUUUGAAAACUUCCAACUAAAAUUUGGAAACUUUCAACUCAAUUUGGAAAACUUUCAACUCAAAUUCAAAAAAACUUUCAACUUAAAAUUUGAAAACUUUCAAUUCAGAUUUGAAAACUUUCUUGGUCAAGAUUUUAAAACUUUUAAUUUGUGUGCUGGAGAUUAAAAAUUUUGGAAUAAACGAAAAGGAAAAAAAGAAAACACGUCAGGAAAAGGGAGCGCAAAAAAUGGAAAAAAAUAUCACCAAAAAACUACAAGAAAACAAGUCAAGAGAGGGGAGCACAAAAACCACGUAAAAACAUGUGGACGCGAUGGGGGCGCUAGCUAGCACGUGCCAGUCCUUUUGUUGACACGUAUGCGCGGGAUAGCAACCCCCACCCCCUUCCCCCAUAAACACCUCCGAUCCCCUUCCCCCAUAAACACCUCCGAAUGACUGGUCCGGCAUAUCUUGAGAGUUGAGAUUGAAAUAUCACCACGGGCACCUUAUUGUCGAUGGGUACGUUUCUACCGCUGAAAGAAUAAUUAGCUGUAAAUACGAGCACUCGUGUCAAAAUUAGGAUUUGAUGCAACUUACAUAUAAUUUUAAAUCGUUAAAUUUACCUUAAGAUUCAUGCAAGUUGGGAAGGAAAAAAUCAUAGCGCACACGGGUGAGGAGAUUCGGUCUUGUGCUCUCUGGUUCGCGAAAAUAGCUUGUUAAUAGGGUUUUUUUUUUGAAAGUUAUAUACAAGUUGUAUAUUUGUAUUGUAGUUAUAUGCAAGUUACAAUAUGAUUAUACUAUAUUUAUAUCUGUUAUUUUUUUAAAAAAAACAAGCUAAAUGCUCGUGCGUUGCAAGGGAAUUACAAGUAAAAUUCAAAAGGCAAAAUAUAAUUAUUCCCUCUCUAAUCAUCAUAUCACAUUUGGUAUAAUUUUGUGUAUAUAUGUUGAGCUACACAGUUGCUCAUAGUGAUGAACAAUUGAUAUAAAUUAUUCAGAGUGUUUAUAGUGAUGAACAGUCUAUCUAUCUAUUAUAUAUAUUAUUAAGGCAACUAAAAAAGAAGCCACCACGCUCAAUGUAAGGCUAGAAAUUUCCAUAUUCAUCACAGUAAAAGAAAAAAAGUUCAAGCAAAAAUACAAUUUAGAAAUUAACUAAAAUUCAGAAUUAAAAAUAAAGAAAAUUUGAAGAAAAUUUCAUAUAGGACCCAAUACGAGAUUAAUUAAAAUAAAAUAUAAAAUAAAAUUUUGAAUUAGAAAAAGAAGAGUUUAAAUAAAAAUGCAAUUAGAAAUAAAUGAAAUUCAAAAUUAAUAAGUUAUAAUGGAAGACGAGUCCAUAUAGAAACCCACUAUGAGAUUAAUUAAAAUUCAAAAUAAUUCAUUCAUAAUUGCAAUUUUCAUAAUUGCAGCACUAGUAUAGUGCAGCCUGCAGACAUUUAUGAUCAACAGUAGAGAAAAAUAAUUGGCAAUAGAUAAAACGAAACAGGUUGAUGAAAUGAUCAAUCAUUAUUCCAUCAUUAGCUACCAAAGUCAGGAUAUAUAUACAACAACUCUAGGCAUCUAGAAUAUCAAAAAUUUCCAGUAAAACCACUAUAAUCGGACACAAACAGAACAGUUUUAAUAGUUUCCAUUGUCUAGAUGACACACAUUGUUCAACGCAACAAGGAGACUUAUCAAUGAACAUCAACUUAGCCAUAGCCAUUGAGUUCCACUAACAUGAUCGAUUUCACUAGCUACCACAUGAAACAUUACAGCAAAGCUAAAAUGUACAUUUUGGAAAUAUACAGUACUGCUAAUUGGCGUCUGACAGAAAAUAAUAAUUCAUUAUAGCCGAGUAUACCCUCGACAUGUUCUACAAUUGUGAUAUCUUUCAUGUGAUUUAGCGUUCAACAGAUCAAAUAUUGGAAUUUUCCUUAACAGUCUAAUAAAAAGGUGUAGCCUUCCUUAACUAGUUCAUAUCAUUCCAACACUGAGAACUAACAUAAACUCCCAUGCUAAGCAAAACAAAAGGUAGGUAAGGUAGUCUGACUAAGGAAAAGAAUCCAACAAAAAAAAAAAAGAUAAAUAGCAUAAUGUGAAAGCUUAAACAAUAUUGACGUGAAUAAACGCUUCCUCAUGAGGGAAUAAGCAAUGUCAAGAAUAAAUUUCUUAGACACUAAUCAUGCAUGACUCAAUGGAAAAUAUAAAUAUAUGAUUAUAGCCUAUAGGAUCCAUAGUUAAAUGGUAAGUGCUAGAGGGUUUUAGACACUGUAAACAAUCGGAUAAACAUAAUGUCAUGCAAGUCCAAACAGAGUUCAAAGUUACUGAAACAUUGGCCCCCCAUAAAGUGAGGUUACUGAUGACUUAACUUCAAUGCCAUAAUUAAAGUUAACAAACUGAGCAUUACGCUAUGCAAUUAAGAUGAUCAAUGUACAUUUGCCAGUGACUCCGAGUACAAGGGAACAUAGGGAAGAUAAUGCCGUGUCAAAAUAUCUCCAAGCUCACAUAUAUAAUGCACUUCCCUGCUAUCCAUUUCAUAGGAAAUGAAUAUUCCAUCAUUCAGUGAAACCAAGAAAAUGAUAUUCCGUUUUGGGUGAAUCGAGACAACUUUGUCGUCAUAUCCAAAAUGCUGUUUGUCAGUUCCAAAUAGAUGUAGAUGGCUGACAGUGUGCUUCAAGGUCCACUGAUCACUGCUGUAGUCCUCAAGAACCCAUACCGAUAAUUUGUAUAGAUCAUCGCGAUCGGUAUUUACAAAACAUAGGCAAUCUUGAGACACAUCAAUGAAUCCAUCAUCAACACCAUAAUAAGGAUCAACAAAAGUUUCUGGCAUUGGAAUGGUCCUCCAAGAAUUCCCCUCCACAUCCACCACUGCCACCACAUCAUCCAUGGUGAUCAAAUGCAGCAUGCCCUUGAAAAAUACGCUCCUCCAAAUAUCAAGCGUCCUAAUUAUGCAGCCCCAACCAUUGUUCCUGUGAAUCCACACUCCAGUUUCUGAUGAGUAAAUUUCCACCGCAACGACAUUUCCAUCAUGGUCACCACUCAUACCCAUAGCACUAUGCUCCACCAACUCGAACUCGAACACAUGGAAAUGGGACGAGGAGACCGCUGGAUCAAACCCCAAGCGAGCAAUCUGUUCCUUGUGAGUCCAGCCAGAUUCAGGCAGGACGAUCCAUUGUUCGGUGGCAGGAUUGGCCACCAGGUAAUCGAAUCUCCGGGGAUCGGAGAGCCUCCGGCGGCGGCAGAGGAGGAGGCCAUUGCAGAUGUCGAGGAGCCGGAGAUCGCCGCAGUCGGGAAGGAAGGGGAGCGAGGGGCCGACGAAGCGGCCUCUGCCUGAGAAGCUGAUGAAGGAUCUGUGGUCGAAGAAUCCGACGACGGCGUCGUGGAGGUGAUACCGCGGCAGGAGGCGGCGGUGGUCGGGGUCGGAGAUGACGCGGCGCCACCGCCUGCAGACGCGCUUGGAGCGGCAGAGCGACUUGUAGGGCACGCGCGAGAGGACCUCGACGAGGAGGUCGUCGGUGAGCUUCUCCGCCGCCGGCGGGAUCCACACCCUAGAAUCCUCCUCCUCCGCCAUGGCUGCGCAAGAGAGAGAUCAGAGAAGCAAAAGGGAUCACGGCCCGUUUGGUUAGGAGGGACUGGGUGUAAAGAGAGAUGAGACUAUUUAAGUGUUUUGUUUGGUUUGGAGACAUGGGAAUUUUGAUGGGAUGGUGAUGGAGAAUUGAGUAAGGAACUCCCUCCUUUUUAAUACCUGGGUAGGGGCAGGUAACUGGGAGGAAAUUCCUCCUUUACUUUUUCUAAGCAAAUCUCAGCUAUCCGUUUUUAUUAAUGACCUAAUCUCUAACUAAACUCCCUAUCAAUUUCUAUCAUCUCUACCAAACAAGAUAUUAGGUUUAAAAAUCAAAUUCCCAUCUUAAUCUCAUCAUCAAUUCCCUCGUGUAAAUUCCCAAUCCCCUUCUCUCGAGUUAUCAAACAAGCCGUCAGGAAAAGGACGGCGGCGCGGCGAGGGCUUUGUUGUGGUGAUCGGCCAUACGGUGUGGGGAAUUUCAUCUAAUCCCGAUUUUUACGGGGAAUCAUAUUAUGCGAAAGAAAAGGCGAAACAAGGUAUUUACAAAUAAAAAAAUAAUUUAUAAAUAAAUUUUUAUAUAAAUGGUAACGAUUUUAAAAAAGGCUGAAAAAUAAACUACGAUGAAAAAAUUCCAAAAUCAACUCUACAUUUAACGUUAGAAAUUUAAAUGUUUUACUAAUAAGUAUAAACAUAAUUGAAAAGAUGAGGAGUUUUUUUUUUAUUCUGCACUUUAGCCCUUUGGUUAUGGGGUUUUACCGAAACAGAUAAUAUCACUAUUAACAAUUAUCGUACAUGCCAUGAGUUUGAUCAAUGGACAAAGAAACCAUAAACCCUUCCAUGCGCACGCUUCCUAUACUAUUAAAAUGUGUAUUUUUUUCUGAAAAGUUUCGAUAUAAAAGUUGUUUUAAAAAAUAAUAGCAAUCUAUUUUUUAAAUUUAAAAUAACAAUAUUUCUCUCAAACACUCCAACUUACUUCCUCGUUUUCCGCGCGCACGUUUCUCAAACUACUAGAUGAUGAGUUUUUUUGCGAAAAAAAAUUUCUAUACGAAAGUUGUUUUAAAAUAUUAUGUUGACUCAUUUUUAAAAAAUAGUUAAUAUUUAAUUAAUCACGCACUAAUGGAUUAUUUCGUGUUUUGUGUAUGGGGAGUUGGGGAUAGGCACCUCCCGAACACGAGAAAUUUGGCAUUAUGCCAUCUUUGGAAUGGGGUUUCGCUGAAAUGUCAUUCCGGAACGUGGCUUCGUUAAAAUACCACUUUCAGACGAUGCCAACUUACUGGAAUGCCAUUUUCUCCAUUUUACACGAAUUGUAAAUGUUUUGGCACAUACACUAAUCUUUUUGCGCCUUACCUAAGCCGAUGAUGCCUUUGAGCUCUGCCGCCGAUUGUAGCCGAGUGAGGAGGACGGGUUGCCAUCGGAAUAAAGAUGGCGCAUCCGGCCGAUGUCACCUUUGAGCUACUCCGCUGUCGCGGCGCCGGUUUCCGCUGAGCGAGAAGGAGUGGUAUGGGUCAUGGGAGAUGGGUGGUGUUAUGGAGGAGGAAGGUGAGGAGCUGGGACAAUAGCCGCCAUCCUGACCAUAGAGCGAACCGAGGGGGAGACUCGAGUUCGUCGGGCUUCCUGUUUCUCUCGCCGCCGUUCUGCUUUCCCAACGCUAGAGCGGCUCAACCUUUCACUCAUCUCACCGUGGGUGCACCCGCUCCUCUCCUCCAUCCCAGUCCUCGCUCGCCAUCUAUUGCUGCGACCCUACCAAGCUUGUCAACCUCGCCGCACUGGGAGGGCUCCCUCUGUCGCGUCAAGCUCGUGCGAUGGCACCAGCGCUGCCUGAGCCUCUAGGCGUGGAUCUAGAGCCACUGCUAUAGGCCUGCCAUUUUCUCCAAGGCACGGGGAGGAGGAUAAUGGCAGUGGUGGCUCGCCGGUGACGGUUCACAUAGGAACGAAAGGGAAGAGAUGGAAUCUAGAGGGUAUUUUGGUUAGCUUGACAAGAAAAAUAGGGUAAAAUUCAUGUGAUUUGAUAAAAAAUGGAAGAAAUAGUAGUAGCAUGUUAGCCUUGUUUGAAGAUGACAUUCUAGGGAAGCCAAGCAAUGUCAAUUUUCUCCCCCGGAGACAGCCUAGUGCACAGCUGAGAGCAUCCUAUUUAUCAACACACCCUAGCCGUCCAUUUUCCGUCCCUCUCAUCAACGGCCGUGAUCAAACACCAACGCUAGUCUCCCUCUAUAAAUCUUCCUCCCCCUUCCCCAUCCAAACCCUAACCCCCUCCAAAACCCUAAACCUCUCCCCCUCACCUGCGGCGGCGGCGGCGGCGGCGAAGCACCUCGUCGGCACGACACCAUGAGGCCACCGCGAGGUAAGCAACCACCCGAAACCCUAGGAUUCAUCUCGCGCUCGAUUCCACUUCCACCCUUACACGAUGCUGUUCUGCGUCAGGCAGGGGAUUCGGGAGGGGAGGAGGAGGGAGAGGCGAUGGCGGCGGCCGCGGCGGCGGCGGUGGGAGGGGAUUCGGGAGGGUCGGGGACAGCGGCGGGAGAGGAGGCCGUGGUGGGAGGGGAGGCAGGACGCCGAGGGGCCGUGGCGGCGGCCGCGGUGGCGGCGGGAGGGGUGGCAUGAAGGGCGGGAGCAAGGUGGUCGUGGUGCCGCACAAGCACGACGGCGUGUUCAUCGCCAAGGCCAAGGAGGACGCGCUCUGCACCAAGAACAUGGUCCCCGGCGAGUCCGUCUAUGGCGAGAAGCGCAUCUCCGUCCAGGUCCUUUGCUCUUACUCCCUCCAUUUUUUUUUGCGUUCUACUUAUUUAGUGUUUUGCUAGAACUGUAGUAUGAUUGUAUUGUACUGUAGCAAGCUGUAAGAUGUUGCAAUGUUGAUUCUAUGCAGUGUACACAGAUUAUGUUCAAAUCGUGCUAGAACUGUUAGGAUAAUUUAGUGCGCUGUAGAAAGCUGUAAGAUGUUGCGCAAUAUUGCUUCUUUGUAGUGUGAUACAAAGAUUGUGUACAUGACGCUUGUUUCUGUUCAUAUUGAUCUGUUUUAUUGUACAUGACUGUUGUUUCUGCUUUUCUGCUAUGUACAGAAUGAGGAUGGAACCAAGGUUGAAUACAGGGUGUGGAAUCCCUUCCGUUCAAAGUUGGCUGCUGCUGUGCUUGGUGGUGUUGACAACAUCUGGAUUGUAAGUUUCUUGGUUGAAUCCACGUGUGCAACUUUAUGCUUAAGUGGUUUAAAAUCACUGUGGUUUGUUAAUGCUGUAGUAUAAAAAAAUGCAUCAAGUGUUAAUGUUUGCAUCAUGAUUUUAGGCUCCUGGUACCCGUGUGCUGUAUCUCGGUGGUGCCUCAGGAACAACCGUGUCUCAUGUGUCUGAUAUUGUUGGACCGGUGAGAUCUCAUUUACUGUUCUCAUUUAUUAUUCAGUCACCUAGGUAUGCAAUUUUGCCAUUCGCUAAUCAAGUCAUUUUGCAGACCGGUUUGGUCUAUGCUGUUGAGUUCUCGCACAGGAGUGGUAGGGAUCUUGUCAACAUGGCCAAAAAGAGGACCAAUGUAAUUCCCAUCAUUGAAGAUGCUAGGCACCCGGCGAGGUACCGGAUGUUGGUUGGCAUGGUUGAUGUUAUCUUCUCUGAUGUUGCCCAGCCAGAUCAGGUAUACCUUUCUCACAAUGAUUUCAUGAUCUUGAAAACGACCUUAGAUAAUUUAUUAUAUGGUUACUAGUUAGUAUUCAUUAAGUGUGUGACAAUGGUUUUGGUGACAUUCUUUGAUUACUUGCGGGCUGCAAAUGAUGAGCUUACUCGGAUUCCCCUUCAGGACAUCAAAUUGGAUGAUGCAGAUUCGAGUUUCUGAUGCAUUAAAGCCCAUUACCACCUGUUUUUUCUUUGCUGUUUUUGCCUGCUUUUUAAACUGUCUUUGUUGUCAGUUUUCUUAUGUCUAGCUGUUUAUAUUCCAGUUUAUGUUUAAGCAACCUCCAACCCAGAAGUUCUAUUCCUACACACGGAGUAGUAUUCUUGUAUGCUUCUGAAGUACUUAAAUUGUAACACGAAGAUGCAUUCUUUCUUUUGAAACACUUCUGUUAUAUAUUUUUUGAAUCUAUCCUUUUUGAAAUUGGUUUUCAAUUGUUAUGAGUUAACCAUGGCUAUGGAUUUCUUUUGGAAGCGUUUGGUGGCCUUGAUGUCUUUUACUAAUUUAUAGAAUUAUUUACAGCACGAGUAUACCUGCAGUUUUGCUUCUAUAUGGCUGUGUUAUGCAUAUGAGGACUUUGCAUUUCAGUGCCAGCACUACUUACUAUGUCCCUAUAUCCCUUAUUAUUUAAUAUUUUGAUUGGGCUUAGCAUAUGAUGAUCUUACUCGGAUUCCCCUUCAGGACAUCAAAUUGGAUGAUGCAAAUUCGAGUUUCCGAUGCGCUGUGCCUCCAUUAUUUCAUUCCCUUCUCUUUGCAUUUUAUGAGUAUUCUGUACAUCAUAUUUGGAUUGUGCUAGCAAUUUGCCAUAUGCUUGGUUGUUUAUACUCUCUUUAGUAUGGUACAACCUUCAGCGAUAUGUGUGCUUUGUUGGUGGCUAAUAGUCAUGUUUUUGACUUUUUGCAUAUUAAUUUUCUUGAUAUUGUCUUGUUCUUUUUUCUGUAAUAUGUCAGCUUUCCUGGUAUAGCUUUCUCUCCUAUUGUUAUUUUGUUAGUCUAGUGCUAAUUAGAACUAUUCCAGUACUUGCCGUACUACAUUUCUUAAUUCUGUGGCAGUGUCGGACAUUGAUAUGUUUUUGCCUUGUAACAUUGCUUACAAUAAUUCAUGUAUGUUUGCUGCUAGAGUCUCGGAUAAAUUGUCUGCAUAUAAAAUUCCCUUUAUGGAAUCUUCUUCCAUGGCCAUGUCCUUUGUUGAAGAUCUUGAAGAUUCUCACUGAUUUUUGAAACCUUUCCUAUGGAAUCCUCUGUCCUGCAGGCUAGGAUCUUAGCCCUCAAUGCAUCCUACUUCCUGAAGAAUGGUGGACAUUUUGUCAUUUCAAUCAAGGUACUUUUGUCUUUUCUCUCCCCUGAAUCCUGAAGAUAAUCACCUUGAUUGAGGUUGAGAUUGGGGAGAUAUUAGAUGUAAUACUAGGUAUUGGACUGAAAUUGUUUGAACAGGCGAAUUGUAUCGACUCCACCAUGCCAGCUGAGGCUGUGUUUGCUAGUGAAGUUGAGAAGCUGAAGGCAGAUCAGUUCAAGCCCUCUGAGCAGGUGACGCUGGAGCCUUUCGAGCGUGACCAUGCCUGCGUCGUUGGUGGUUACAGGAUGCCCAAGAAGCAAAAGGGUACAUCUUAAGAAGAAUAAAACUUGUGGUUGUGAGUGACUGGUGCUAAAAUGUAGUGCUGCACAAAACUUUUGGUCUAAUUGUUUUUCACUUGCACCCUGGUUUGUAAGGCUGAAAUUUUUGGACAAAUGAUGCUAGGAGAGAAGUAAAAAGUCACUCAGGUUUUGCACUGCCCUUUACUGCAAGUUGCAUCAUUAUUGGUGCUACUAGGGGUGAUACGCUAAUCAAUAGGGAUGAAAUUGGUCACCGAAAUUCCUCACAGUUCCUGUUUCCGACAGUUAGACCGUUAUCGUUUUUGGCCACAUAUAUACAAUUUUGAUUUUUUUUUAUGCGAACAGUGAAUAUUUUAAUUGAUAAAUAUGGUGACCGACCGAGUGUCUUUAUGACGACCCCCUUCCUACCAUCAAAGGUUUUCAUUUUCGUCAUAAAUCUUGCGAUGACUUGCCUUUUCAUUUUAUCAGAAUUCUUGCCUCAUCUUCUACUUAUCAGCUAAAAUUUAAAUUUUCAACCUUAAAUUUAGCUAAAAUUUAAAUUUUUUACCUUAAAUUUAGAGCUAAUUUUAGGGGUUUUUUUUAUUAAAGAUUAUUUUUAUCCUUUGCUUUUAUAUUGUUAAAAACAUGUAUAUAAAAGUUUUAUUCAUAAAUUAUUAUUUUUUUACAAAUACGCCGUUAGCGAAGCGAAGUUUCUAAUUUUCUUGCUCUCAAGUAUUAUAAUAAGCUAAUGUUAUAGGUAACAUUUCCAUGCAUUGAGAGUAUAAUGUGGACGUUAAAAUUAUCGUGACAUGUCCAUGCUCAACGCAUUGAGAGUAUAGAUCAACGCUAAUAUUACCGGUAACAUGUUCAUGCAUUGAAACGGGCCCUUCUGAUUUGGAUGGUUUGGGAGUAUUGAUGGAACCUAAAGCACGGGAUUGAGAGCAAUGUGGUGGGAGGAGGGAGCGGAAGGAGAAUGACUUCACUUUUACGAAAAAUAUUCAACCAACCUUUCGAGAAAAAUAAAAAAAAAUAUCAACUACGAACUUAGUUCAGUUAGGCCUUAUUUUGUUCCCACAUCAAAAUUUUUUCACCCAAUCACAUGAAUGUUUGGUCAAAUAUGUAGUAUUAAAUAUGAAAAAAACUAAAUACAUAGUUUGUGUGUAAAUUGCGAGACAAUAAGUCUAACUGCGCCAUGAUUUGACAAUGUGUUGUUACAGUAAACAUUUACAAAUGAUGGAUUAGAUUAAUUAGGUUUAAUAAAUUCGUCUCGCAGUUUUCUGGCGAAAUCUGUAAUUUGUUUUGUUAUUAGAUUACGUUUAAUACUUCAAAUAUAUGUCCGUAUAUCCGAUGUGACAAACAAACCCAAAAAUUUACCCCAACUAAACAAACCCUAAGUGAAAUGGUUGCUCCAAAAAGGAAACGGGAUUCGCUUUUUACAUUAAAAAACUGCUCUGAUCCCUGAAAAAAAACUGCACUGAACUAAUACUCCCUACAUCCCCAAACGUACGAAACAGAGGCUGUGUUUAGUUUCUGAAAUUGGGGAGAAGUUUGGGGAAAGUUGGUAGUUUGGAAAAAAAAUUGAGAGUUUACGUGUGUAGGAAAGUUUUGAAUGUAAUGUGAUGUGAUGGAAAGUUGGGAGUUAGGGGAAGUUUAGUGUGAACUAAACACACCCAGAAAAUGAAAUCUGAAAAAUAAUUUAGCACUCGAGCAAUUUUGUUAUGCGUUUUAUUUACUUUAUUAUUAGCAACGUGGAUUCCACGUGCAAGCAUACUAUUUGUGAAGAAAGUAGUGGAUUUGUUAACAACAUACUUCCUCUAGUUUUUUUAUGACGUUGGCUAGUUUAAAUUUAUACUGGUGAACGUUACACAUAUAUGCAUGGAGGUAGUAUCUUUCUGCCUCUACAUGUGUCAACAAUCUUUAAUCAAACAAAGUGGAUUUUGCUUGCUAACUAAAGAUUAAACUUUGGGUCACUCAUUGCUUAUGAACCAGGCCUUGCUACCUCAACUUUGGUCGGUUGGGCUUGUAUAUUUUGCUUGUGAUUUGGUGUUUCAGCAUCGGAAAGAAUGUAUGUUCUUCAAUGUUGGUAUGUGAUCGAGUUAAAAUGCUUUUAUAGCUGUAAAUAUUGUUGAUGUAUAGCACGUGCAUUGUUGUUGUAAAUCUUAAGAGUGGCCAGUGUACCGAAGAAGAUCCGGCGGUCACGGCGGCGAGGCAAGGAAUUUCUGGUUGCGGCGAUGCGCCGCACCUAUCGACGACAAGCAACCAUGCGGUGCGGGGGACUGAGAAUUUGGGUCUGAGCUGAAUUUGUUUUAAAAAGUCUCAAUUUAGGCUCCUCAAACAGGGGUUGAGUUUGGAUAGUAUCCCUCAUCAACGAAACUGGAAUAGAGCUGAUUAGUUGACUGAUUAUGACCUGCCAGAGGAGGCAUGGGCCAGCUCUUUGGGGUGGCGGCAGGGUUCAGCGGCAAGUUCAAAAGUCGACCGACGGAGAGACGCAGAUGAGGUGUGGUAGAGGCCACUUGCUGUCAAUGCUUGUGCAGUGGUUUCUGAGUUGGUGGGCGACAAAUUACAACGAAGGUUGUAGGGUUUCAUGCGAAAGCAUCGCCCAGUGGAUCACUGGGCCGGCAAAGGCUAUGCCUUCGGGUGUCGUUACCCCUUAGGGCGCCGCUAAGGGUACCUCUCUUUAUUCUUGGCGAGUUUUCUUUGGGUGAAAACCACAUCUUUCUAAGAAUGUGGGAGAUGGCGACGUCCUUGAUGGCGUGACCUACGUGGUGGCAUUGUUUUCGGAAUCUCGUUUCUGUGGUGUUGUUGGAGGUCUGGCGAUGAUCAGCCACGCAUAGCGGGGGGUCAUUUUGGAAUGCUACACAUUCUAAUAUUGCGAAUUGACAUGAGACCUCGUAAUCCUGACAGGAGGCUUGUUCGAUUAGGAUACAACACAUCGUAUUACUUUGUGAAUCUAGAUAUAUCAAUUCUAUUAGUUUAUUUUGAUACGGACAAAGUAUCCAUGACACUCUGAAACUCUGCUAGUGUUAAGCUCCAGAAACAGAGAAUGCAAAUGUCAUGAACAAACAACUCAAGAUGUAUAUGUGUUGCAACUUGUCAAGUGAACAGCUGAAAUACUGAGUUGCCUUACAUUAUAUGCUACGAAUAUAAUUAAAAUGUUCACCGCAAAAGAAUGUAAUUGGAAUAUAUCCGUAUAAAUAACAUCCCAUAGUAUGUGUAACAACGACCCCUCAAACAAAUGACUAAAAUAACGGGUGUCACAAAAGAAGAAAAAAAUUCACAAUUUACGCUGCUGGGCUGGCUUCUUCGCAGGCAAAAUAAGGCUUCACAGUUCCAUCGUAUCAGCAGCUAGCGCCAGCACUGAAGUAGCUAAUAAACAGUGGCAUAACUUAGAUAAAAAAGGUCUUCAUCUACACAAAAAGAAGAUCCCAUUCUAGCCCCCCUCAGGUAUUUACACAAGGGGGGGUAGACCUUGAUUGAUUGAAGUUCAUCUUCGUAACGGUGCCGAUCAGCAGUUCACACCGCAUUGCCCCAAGGCGACGGCUUUCUGAGUAGGCGAAAUGAAAGGAUCGAUCUUGACCCACAGAAGGGAGAAGAUCGACGCGAGGAGGAUCGACCAGACGAUGACGAUGGUCGGAGUGCGGUUCUGCCUGCCCAUGAGACCCUUGAGGAAGGGGUAGAGAUGGAGGAUCACCCAGAUGGAGAAGAAGAGCUUUCCAAAGAGAGGACCCCAUGAUUGGUAACCGCUGUUAAUGGCAUAUGAUAUACCCGCCACCAUGCCCACCAGGUUGAUGACAAGCACGGUGGUCGGGGGAAUGAGGAGACUGGUCCACUUGAACACGUAUAGCUCAGCAAAGUCACCAUCCUCAUCGGACGCCUUUGAGGUAACAGUGAAGUUGGUAUCAAUUCCUGCUAACACUUUCAGAAGACCCUGGAACACAGCGAAGAGAUGGGCAGAUGUGCCACCAAUGACCCAGAACUGUUCAUUUCUCCACCAGUCCUCGAUACCAACACCACUCCAUCGGAGCUCCAGAAUACCAGUUGCGAAAAUGGAGGCGAAAAGCAGAAUAAAGAACAUCCCAGCAUAAUUGCUAAUCUGCAUAUCAGAAAAAGAUCUGAUCAGAGAAGUUCCAGAAGGGCAGAAACUUAACUAAAACAACAGAGCUCUCCUGAAUAAGAAACCAUGAUGAUUAGCAAAAGGUAUUGUUGGAUUGUGGUCAUAAAAGCAGAGUGCAUAACAAAAAAAAACAAUAUGGUAAUUAAAAAAAUCAUCGAAUAACAGAAUAAGAAAGUGAAUGGAUAUCCUUUGACUAACCUCAGGAAUGAUAAAUUUGUUGGUGAGGAGACAGAUAGCAGGAAGCACACAAUAGGCGAUAAGUGGAAUGGAUGUAAUUGGAUAAACAAUGGUGUUAAUGUAAGCCAGCCUCUCCAGAAGUUUCAAACGCCCAUUGUAACCAUACCAGAUAGGACAAUGUCUGCUAAGCAGAAUCUCAACAGACCCAAGAGCCCAACGUAGCACUUGGUUAAGACGAUCAGACAGAUUGAUUGGCGCAGAACCCUUGAAGCAUGGCCGUGGUGGCAUGCAAUAGAUUGAUAUCCAACCUCUUGCGUGCAUUUUAAAUCCAGUCAGAAUAUCCUCAGUAACUGAACCAUAGAUCCAGCCAAUCUGAAAUCACAUUGGAAAACAAAAAAGUUAACUUCUAGGCUUCUAUUUCUAUACAGAACAAGGAGUCCACACCCAUGACUUGGCAAGAAGUAGAACAAAGAUCUCUAGGAAGAAAGAGAAAAUUACGGGUUGCCCCACUAACCUCUUUUCCCCAUUCAGUUUUGUCCUCAUAUCCACAACUGAUAACAUGGAUGGCUUCCUUCAGUAGAGAUGCUGGGUUCGUUGAGGGUGGUAUGCCUCCUUGAGUCAUGAAGGUGGACGCAAUAAAAAUUGGCGAUUGACCAAAACGUUUCUCUAAUCUCUUCUGGGACAUCAGCACUGACCUUUCAUCUUCAUAACCUAAUGAAUUACAAAAGCAAUAUUAGAGGAGGGAGCCAGCUUGAGUAUCUCAAAAGUCUGUGUAAACAUAAGACUAGAUAGAAGCAUAAUGUUGAUAACACUAAAUGCAGUGGUUGUUCAUAACAUAAAAGAUAAAAGAUGAACAAAGACUAGCACAAACCUUCAAUGCCCUCUUCUAUAUCUUCCAUGUUAAAGAUAGGAGCUGAAGACUCUGUUCUCUUCAUCAUACGGUUUUUGCUAUCCAUGUAGCUCUUGCUCUUUUUCUUUCUGCCACCACAGCAGCUCUUAACAACAAUGUUAGGUUCCAAAUCAGCCUCAGUUAGUACAGGAUCAUAGCCAUACAAGGCCUGCCUAUUGAAGCAGCAACCUGUUCCCACAUAAACUGGACCCUGAAUGCCAUCUAAACCUUUCAUGUUAAUCUGCAAAGCAGAAAAGCAUGUCAGACAUGAAAAUUUUGAUAUGAUGGACAAACAAAGGCACCAUUGUACUCACAUCAAAGAAGACUAUGUUGCGAUUAGCGUAUCGAUCGUGCAAGUCAAUGCCAUCAAAUCUUUGUGGGAACUGAACAUAACAAGUUUUCCUUCCUAGUGCGGGAUCCAUCAUGAAGCACAUUGCUUCUCUAAGAGCUUUGCUACUGUUGAAGUAGUGAUCACAAUCCACAUUGAGAAGAUAGGCACCAUUUGUCAGCACAGCAGAUACACGAAUCUGCCCACCAGAAAUAGGGGUAUAUAAGUAUUGGGUUGAUAAACUUCAGUGAUAAAUUUACAGAAUUGAACACAUACCAAUGCAUUCAUUGCACCAGCCUUCUUGUGAUGCUGGAAUCCUGGCCUCUUUUCACGAGAGACGUAGACAAGCCGUGGCAACUCGUUACCAUCAGUGUCAAGCCCACCACUGUGCCCCAAGAACACCUGUAAUCAACAUAACAGGAGUUUAGUAUACACGAACCUGAUUAAAUUAGAAUCUUAAACCACUCCCCCAUUAGAAGUAAAGAUCACCUGAAUCAUGCCAGGGUGAUCCCUUGGGUUAUUCCCAGGCCAAGCAGUGCCAUCAGCCAUGGUCCACCCCUCUUCAGGUACUUUUUGUGCCUUCGCAACAAGAGCAUUGAUCCGUACCUUGAAUUCUUCAUACUCUCUCUGAAACAGAGUAUCCAAAGUUAAAUACUCAGGCACAAUGCAGAUUGGCGGUAAUCUAACCAUGACAGUAGAAGCUUACCUUCAUUGCCCGCCUUUCUUUAACAAAGGAAGGUUGGAUUUUGUCCUUCAGGUAAUCUAUUUUUUGAGCAAAGUAAAACUCUGGAGCUCGUGGUUCAAUAUUGUGCUUCUUGCAAAACGGAACCCACUUCCUAGCAAAUUCUGCAGUUUCUGACAGAGCCUCAAAAGUUAACAUAGCUGAACCAUCGUCAGAAACAUAGCAUGACACUUUGUCAACAGGGUAAUCCACAGCCAGAAUGGACAAAACAGUGUUUGCUGUGAUCAGAGGAGGUUCCUUUAGUGGAUCCACCGUACUGACAAAGACAUCAAUGGGAGCAAGCUGUGAUGGCUCUCCCUCCCUAUCAUAUCUGCAACAUUAGAUUGGACGCCUCAGGACACAGAAUAUCAAUGUAAGAGAGUUUCAGUGCCACGACCCUGAAAAAAUGUAUAUCAAGUAUCUCAUCUUACCUCAAUGCAAGCCUGUCAAGGUAUGUUUCACGGUUUAUCGGGUACCACUUUGGGAAUUGAUCUAGGAGCCAGGAUAAGGCAAACCAAAUUUCACAGAUAACAGAUACUAGCCACAAUCCAUAAGCAUCCCGCACUGGAUGAGUGACACGAUAUUGGAAGAAGAACAUCAGGAUGAUAAGACGGAGAAUGAUAACAAUCCGGUAAAGGUUGAGCUGGUUUGAAGGGAUAGGCACUAUGCGGCUCAGAGGUAGACGUGCAUCAUCAACCCUGUGAAAGACAAUUACAGAAAGAUCAAUAUACUUGAAGCAAUAUAUACAAUAUACAUCAAACUGCAGUAGUGGUAAAGCAUAGUCAAUGAAAAUCUAUAUCCUGAUCAAACUCAGAGGUAUAAAACUAUCUAAUAAGUCAUUGAAUAACAUGGAGAAAAGGGCAUUCUAAGUGCUUGAGUGAGCUAUCUUCAGUAUAUGCUGAUAUGAUAUACCUUCAGUCUGCGCAUCAUAAAGACCAAGUUUUUGGGUGUCUGAUGUGAAUUUCUAUAAUGCAAAAAUAACUAUCUAAAUCCACUGCAAAGCAGCGUGUAUAAUAUAAGGAUAGGUUGUCCAUACAUUUGCAUAUCUUCACCAUUUGAACCAGUCCCUUCCAUGUCUCCCCCUCUUGCCUCUGGAUAUUUAUUAGCUACCUGCAUCAUAUUUUUGUCCUGCUUGUUCCUCCAGCUGGCAACUCUUUCUUGCCAGUCAACACUGUUAAUCCCAUAGGAAUUCAAGUCCUUGGAGGGGUCCACAAUCCUCACAGGAACUGGAAUCAUAAUAGAGAAAUGUUAGCACUUUCCAAACCAAUGUUUUUCCCAAGGAGCAAUUUAUGAUGAGUAAGAAAAGUACCUGGAACACUUGGAUCAACAUAGCUUGAUGUUCCGCUGCGGAUAGAAUGGCGAUCGGGGGAAGCAUCAGGGAUCUCUCCUGAGAUCUGAAUGAAAAUAUCAGUUUGUCAGUACCCAAGAGCACAGCAUUCUUACAGAAACAAGUUCACUGAUACAAGUGAGAACUUAUAUCAUGUUAAACUGUACCUGUUGCCCACUUGUCAGACGGGGAAUCCGAUGUUGUUCGUGGCGAGAAGAUGAAGACAGGUCAACAUCUUCCCCCUGUCUCUGUAUCUGCCACUCUGGACCUUUGCCAUUGCCAUGCUUAUAAUUGAAUUCAUUGUCCAGGUCAUCAACAUCUUCCUCCUCCUCAUCGCCCUGAACUCUAGGGCUACCUGCAUUUUGUCCAAGGCGGCAAAACAAUCACAGUAUACAUCAAUCAUUUGUCUUUAUGGAAUAAAAGACAGAGUUGGUAGUCUAAUUUUAUAUGUGGAUACAUAGAUAUGAAGCAAGAAUCAAACAUGAACUUAGUAAUGAUAUAUUAUAUGACAUAUAAAUAAUAGAACAGUUGUACAGAAACCAACCUUUGUGCCUCUUGUAUCUAGUCUUGCACUGGGGGCAGCACUGGUUCCCUUCCUUGCGCUCGUACUCGUAGCAAGGGCGGCAGACCGGGAAGGCGCACUCAUUGCAGGCAACAAAGACGUCGCCGGUGGCCGAGACGCCAACAGUGUCGCCACAAAUCUGGCAGACCUGACCAUUCACACUCUUCCCUGGCUUAGCCUGCAUCAAGCAAGAAAACGACAGUUAGUACAUGCCCAAACGGAACUACAGAACUAUUAGUAAUUAAUCACUAACUAAAGAACCAUCUGCUUCGCUUCAAGUCGAAACCAAGGUCCUAAAGCUAGAAAUGGAGGAGCUCUACAAAAGCUGGGCAUGAAUUCCACAGUUCUAAUGAUUCAGCCUCUGCGUCAUCAGUACUAACCAAGCUGAGAUCUAACACAUCAAUGGCACCUCAAAUGCUACCCGCGAAGCCUAGACUGGGGAAUUCCGGGAGCUGCAUUGCUCUAGCUAAAUCCCUACAAUUCCACAACCACCGGACAUUUCCUCACAUGAGGAUUACUCACUAACAAUUCCACACAGGAGGACACUACAAUCGCCCGCGCCAAAUGCACAUAGGGAAAACUGCGGGGGAAAAUCCCCGAGCCCAGCACAAAAAAACAAACGCAAUUUUGCGGGGGAUUCGAUUCGAGAGAUGCGCACCCAACACCACACUCACUCCCUCUCCCCUCACCCCAGAUCCACCACCGACACGCUCUCAUCUCGCUCGCUCAUCGCACGCACGCACGUACCGGCGGUGGCGCGUCGCCGUCGGGGCGGAUCAUGACGAACUCGUUCCGGUUGCGGGAUCCCGCCACCAUCCCCGCGUUCGCCGCCAUCCUCCUCCCCUUCCUCCUCCUCCUCCACUCACAGCGAGAAACGGCUACGCAGCUCGCAGAUCCGCGCGCGCGCGGCAAGCCUAGAUCGCGGCGGCCGCCGGCGACACCACCAUUCGCCGCUCCGCCUCCAGAUCUGCAGCGCCGCCUCCUCCACUCCCCUCCUCCUCUUCAGCUCGCGCUCCACUACUUCCUCUCGCCUCCUCGUCUUCUCUUCUUACAUACGCGAGACACGCUCGGGUUGGUUUCGCUUCAGUUGGUGGGAGUCUCGCCACCGGCUACCGCCGGUCACCCGGCUCGCCUCCUGGCCGUCGGAUGAGAUGAGGGGGAGAUAUCUCGGCCGUCGGAUGAGGGGUGGAGCUGGGCACAGGCUGUCACCCGCUGACGGGGUGGGCCCGGGUGACCGGCGGUAGCGGGUGGAUCUGUCGGCGCCUCGGCGGUGGACGGGAAUGCCCUCCUACCUGCCGCUACUCUUUUUUUUUUGUGGUGUUUUUUGGAGGUAGGAAAGGGGGAAAGAAAUGUGGCAUGUGCAGCAAGCGUGUAACAUGUGAGUUGGCAUCAAAUCGAUGGUGCUGUGAUUGGUGGAUCGAAAUUAUAUGGUGAGAAUUAUUUGCAUUGCCAAGCAUUCUGUGAUAUUUGCAGGGAAGUUAAUUCAAUUCUUAAUUAUAAAAACAUUGAGAACUUAUGUUUCUCGAAUAGCAGAUGUAAUUUGUGUAUUGGUCUAGUUUUCUGCAAUGUUUUUCCGUUCUAAACAUGUUUUGUUUUAAUUUGCCACAGUAUAUAUAACACUUAUUUUGCUGACGUGGACAAGAGAAAAUAGUUGUUUCUUCAUGGAGAAGAUAUACCUCGAGCACAUGACAGGAAAAUAUGAGAAAAAUUAAAGAGGAAUAAUAUUAAGUGCAACAUUGUUAGUUGUUUUGCAUACCAGCUUUUAAGUAGUUUUCUCCUAUAUCAUCAAUAAUAUUACAAGUUUGAAUAUUCUCAAUGCUUUGGAUUGUCAUUCUUAACCAAGGUUGAUGCUAACUUAAGCUUGUGCAUAAUAUAGACUUGGUGCAUUAUUUGAAAAUGGAAAGAGGACCUGGUUAGGGGCUCGAGGAUUGAAAAAAGAAGUGCAUUAUUCACAUGAUUAAAACUAUUCCUCUUCUGAUUUAGGGGUAAGCAAUAUCUUAUAUUAAUUUGUUUGCACUCCCUGAAUCGAUUAAUAAAUCUUUUAUAGAACCUGCUGUGCUUAGAGUACCUAACACUCCUCCCAGGAAACUAAUUUUCUUCUUGCCGUUUCAUCGACCGACAAAUGCAACGUUUUGGCACACAUCAUUACGGUUUUCCACCUUACCUUGGGAUUUAUAACAAACAACAAGAUUGUAGUUCUUUUUACUUAUUUACACCAUAAGCGUAUAGUACAUGCUAUGCAAUUUUUAUUUAAAUUUACAGCAACUAAUAUAUAAAAUCACUAAAAUAAAAGUCCCUGGCUCUCUUUACUCCACAUCCCAUAUAGAUAGCUACUGAACUCCCCUUUGUUUUCAUCAUUGCACCUCAAAGAUUCACAAACUGAACAUAAUUAAUUUGUGAUGCCAGAUGUAGAUUAAUUAAGCAUGCAUUAAGAGGAAAAAAAAUCAGACCAGAUUAUAGGGAGCCUGUCACUCCAAAGUUAACAAGAACAAAUGAGAUGUGCUGACUUGUGCUUUGCAAUAAGCACACUGUCAGGUAAACCGUUCUUGUCCCAAUAAUGGCGGUUGGGCUGCCACUGUCCUGCCCGUCGGUGGCCUCUUUUCUUUAUUGUUACUUGCAAUAAUCACUAAUAUAUAUUUUUUCUCCUUCUCUCUCUCUGUAAUCUCUCCUAGUUUCUUUUUGUUCCUCUAACCAAAUUGGAAUCUUCACAUCGCAUGCAUGGAAAAUGAUUUGCCAUCGGCUUGAUGGUGCUGCUGUAUUUCUGUUACACUGUUCGACACGAAAACUUCAGUUUGGUUUGGUACUGUUGUUGUUCAUCAUAAACCCUCACUUAUUUUACUUCUUUUUUAAAAAAAUAAUAAAAAUGGGUUACAUCUCCGGCCUCUGUCCAUAGGCAUACAGCUAAAAAAUACAUCUCACUUAUUUUACUUCUAGGAUGCAGUAACAAAUACAUAGUAGAAAGUGUUUUUUUUUAAAAAAAAAAACUAGUUGCAAGCCAUGUAGCAGUGAAGUCAAAGAAACUGACUAAACAUGACAAAAAAAUUUCUCUUAACUUGCUAAAAUCUAUCUGGUGAUUUGUGAGGAACAGCAUGGAGGUUCAGGCUCUACUUUGUCUGCCUCUUUUGCCCUUGAUUACAACAGUGGUACUACGUACUGUAGUGGCUGGGAUUAUGCUGCAACAACUAAUUGAAGUAUUAAAACGAGUGUUGCUCUUGCCUGCAGCCUGGUUGAUGGUCUAGUCUAAUUAACCCGUGGAUUAGUAUUAGUCCUGUCGAUUAUUAGCUGUCUUGAGGCCAGGGGCAGCAACCACCGCUGGUGACGCUAACGUGUCUCUGCACCGCUGGUCACAUGCGAAGUUGGGGCAAAAAAAAAAAAAAUCAAGGGCAGAAACGCAACGUGGGGGAAUAUUCAGAGUUGUCUCGUGUACGUACUCUACUACUCUCUGAAGAACAGAACUGGACAGUGUACAGAACGGUCAGCAUCCAGUUAAGUUAACUGUUUGUACGCAGAACUGAAGAGGAAUUUCUUCGAGCAUGUUGCUGUAACUAAUUCUUGCGUGUGUAUCCCCAGAGAUCUGUGUAUUUUUGUUUAGAAGAAGAAUAAGAGAGGGAGAAAAAAAAAGAGUGGUCAUCGGUUUGAUUUUGAGUAGGGUAUAUAAACUGGCAAGCAGUUUCUCUGUGUGAUGAUUUUUCAUUUAAUUUAAGUUUAUGUGAUUCAGUUUCCUUCUCUAGUUCUCUUGAGUCGUCACAAGAAAAUAAUUUGGAAAGAGAACGGAAGCAAAGCAGAGAAGACGAAGGCCUCAUUUGUCCUUGCUUAGAUGGACCGUUGCUUAGAUGGACCGUGAUUUUAGCUUAUGACCCUGAAUUAGGAAUAAGUCCACCUUGACCCCCUUCAUUGGUGGUCGAAUCUAAUUCCUAUCUCUGAACCACAGUAUCGGAUCUUUAGGUCCCCAACUAUUAAAACUAGUGUAAUUUAAUUCGCUUGGUAGUUUUGGAGGGCGGUUGCGCUGACGUGGCGUCUAUUUGGCGGUGUUGACCUGAUCUUCGUCCCAGCCCCCAGGUGGCGUCGACGUGCCGCUUUAGCUCCCACCCCCUACAGACGGGUGAUGGGGAGAGAGAGAAGGGAAAGAGACAAAGGAAAAAGGAAGGAGAGAAUGGGUCCCACAGAAUUUUAAAAUUCUAAUACCACACAAAGUGAUGUGUUAACGCCAUGUAGGACGAAGAUUAUAUCAACACCGUCACGUUGUUGCCACAUCAGCAAAACAGUCCUCCAAAACCGCAAGGAAGUUAAAUUGCACCUGUUUUAAUAGUUGAUGAGUUAACAUAUCCGGUAUUAUGGUUGGAUACGAAUCAGAUUCGGCCACUGGUUAAGGGAGUCAAAGUGAACUUAUAUUCCGAAAUGAAAUGAAGGAAAUCUUGACCAGCCCAACUUGGACCCAGGGACAGGCCCAAGGCCCGGCCCACAAAUCCUCGUAUCAUUAUCUCUUGGAAUAAGUUCACCGGUGGUCCCUCAACUUAACAGCGAGAUUUGUUGAGGUCCCUUAACCAUAAAACCAGAAAUGUGUACUCCUAAACUUACACAAACCGUGCACACAAGAUCCUAUGGCAGUAUACAUGGCCCCACAAAAGUGCGUGGGGCCCACCUGUCGGCUGCACAUCUAUUUCCUUUUCCUUUUCUUCUCUUUUCUCUCUUCUCUCCUCCCUUCUUCGGGCCGGCGGCGGGCGGAAUCAGCGAGCGCCGAUGCGAGCGGCGGGCGAGCGCGGCAGCAGAGCGGCUGUGAGCCGCGGGCGGAGCGGGCGGAGCGGACGGCGGGCGAGCGUUGGCUGUUGGACGGGUGGAACGCCACGGCCCAACACGCUAGCAGUGACGCCCCCGCCAUGGCCGCCGUGACCAGGCAUGCGUCGACGGCGCCGGUGCCGGCCACCUUGCUGCCACGAGCGCCUGCCGCCACCGUCGGCUUCUCGUCGUCGUCCAUGCCGUGUACGUGGAAUUAAUGGUGACAGGAAAAAAGAGAUUGAGGAGAUAGAUAGCGAAUUGAGAAGCGAGAGGAAUGAAUUGAAGGUGGUCAAUGGCGGCUUAUUAGCUCUGCUUCCUGUAUAUAGUCUUGUACUGGUGUUGGUGUGAUGUGGUGGUUUACGUUAUUGCCGUCGGUGGUCUGCGUCUUGCCGUCGGUGGUGUUCGCGACGGCCGGAGUAGGCCGGCGGGGCUGCCUGCGGUGGGGGUGCAAGAGUCCCGGGCAGAGCUCGAGUCUAGGGGAGGAUGGCACGGCGGACGAGCUGAAGGAGCAGCUACAGGGCGCGCUCCAGGAGAACGGGCAGCUGAAGCGCGAGCUGCAGCAGUACACCUCCGAGAAGAAGGCCUCGGCGAAGACGACGGACGCCGCCGACGCGGCGGCGGAGCAGGCCGAGCACUGGAGAAAGGACACCGAGACCGCCAUGGCUGCGGCGGCGGUUUAGGGUUUACGGCAGUCCGUGCCGCGAGCGCGCUCCGCCCGCUGCCUCCGCUCUGCCGCUGCGCUCGCUCGCCGUCCGCUCCGCCCACCGCCGCCGCCGCCGCUCCGCUGCUUCCGCUCUGCCGCCGCGCUUGCCCGCCGUCUGCUCCGCCCGCAGCCCGCCGCCGCUCUGCUGCUGCGCUCGCGCACAACCGCGCUCGCCGAUUCCGCCCGCCGCCGGCCCGAAGAAGGGAGGAGAGAAGAGAGAAAAGAGAAGAAAAGGAAAAGGAAAAGGAAAAGGAAAGAGAUGUGCAGCUGACAUGGGCCUCACGCACUUUUUUUAAUUUGUUUUGCUGACUAGGAUGCCACGUCAGCAAAACCACCCAUGUAUACUGCUAUAGGACCUUGUGUGCACGGUUUACGUAAGUUUAGAGGUACACAUUUCUGAUUUUAUGGAUAAAAGACCUUAAAAAAUCUCGCUGUUAAGCUGAGGUACCAUCGGUGAACUUAUUCCUUAUCUCUUGUACAGUUUCUACGAAGCAAGCAUGACAACUGACAAAGAUGCAAAAUUGAACUGACCUUCGCUUGUUUGGGCAUACAGGCCGUGUUUAGAUUCAAAUUUUUUUCUUCAAACUUUCAACUUUUCCGUCACAUUAAAUAUUUGGAUACAUGCAUGGAGCAUUAAAUAUGGACGAAAAAAAACCAAUUACACAAUUUGCAUGUAAAUCGCGAAACAAAUCUUUUGAGCCUAAUUACGCUAUGAUUUGACAAUGUGAUGCUACAAUAAACAUUUACUAAUGACAGAUUAAUUGGGCUUAAUAGAUUCGUCUCGCAGUUUACAGGCGGAAUCUAUAAUUAGUUUUAUUAUUAGUUUACGUUUAAUACUUCAAAUGUGUGUCCGUACACUUAAAAAAAAAUUGUCACACGAACUAAACACAACCAAAGAAUCCAAAAGUAUUUCACUAGUUCAUGCGCCAAGAGGCAAGAGGACUAGUGUGUUGUACCAUGAAAACAAUAUCAUAACUUUCCAUCCCAAGAAUUUUUUUUAGCAGAACUAGAAUCUCACUUCAGAUCAAACAACAGCAGCAGCAGCAGAGGCAGCAAGAUAGUAGAAAUGAAAAGGGAAAUGCAGGCUAUUUUGUUACUCCUUCGAGCAAAGCUGGUCAAACAACAAUGAUAAAUGCCGACCCUAAACUACAUAUAUAGCCACUCUCACUUGUUAGCAACCUCUCCUAGAUUCUACCCCUACCACAGUCCACAGUGCAUUCCAACCCCUAAAGCAUGUUAUAACAAGAGAAAACUUAACAUAUCAAGCAGAAAACUUGAGAUGUUUUUAGCAUAGAUGAACCAGCUGUUAUAUAUAGUUACCACUUACCAACAAAAAAAGAACAUGUUAAAAAUCCCAGGAAACUUUUCAUGAUUCUAGCUGCCCAAUGCCCACUAUGCCUUUUCGUCUUAGGUUCAUAUUUUUGUUAGCAACGCUUCUUUAAGUGUUAUAGGAUGAACAAUCUAUUAAACGGUACGUCAAAGGCAAUAGUAUUUCUAGGAAAAAAUCGCUUGUACAAUAACAUUUCAUGGAACUCGUACUUGUCGAUGAUAUUUUUUAAAUUGGACACUUAUAAAUGGUAUUUCUUGAAUUUUCUCUCCACAAAAGCAACUUCGCUGAGAUUGAUCAUGAUGCCUAGGUGCUGCCAAACCAAUUGAAUGGUAGGCAGGAAGACCAAAAGGAUAUGCUUUAUUGGACAAAGAUGGUGGAAAUGAAACUAACAGACAGACACUUUAUUUCUCAAUGACCGUGCACCUCUUUUUAUUUUUUCUUAUGCAAACUAUGCACAUCAAUUAGUAGGAUCAUCAUGGAUUAUUGUGAUCAGAGGCUACAUCAGUACAGUACAUCACCACCUAAUGUUUUGAAUCCUUAUUGGGAGUAGGUUGCAUAGUUGGAAUUGUCUGUACCUAGGGACAGGUAAAUAGCAAGGUCAGUACUAAAAGACACCUAAUUCCUAACCACAACAGAAGGAGAGCACAUCCUCACUUUCACUGACAGGUGGCGCUCAUGACCACACAUCUUUUGACAAAACAUGGUCUAUAUAACUGCCUUUUAUUGCUAAAAUUAUCUCUGUUCACCCUAAAGAUUGGCCUACCUUGUCUUAUAAACCUGGCACUAGCCUACUAGGUGUAAAGCAGAUCAGAUAAAAAUCGAUUACCACUCAUGAGUCAUUUGCCAAGACCUGAAGACCCUACCUAACUAAUUCCACAUUAUACUCUGUAAUCUGCACAUGUACUCUUGUAGUAAUCGACACAUAAUCUAAGCCUGCAUCUGACACAUGUUGCAAAUUUCUGACUAAGAAAUGCUCUGCAUAUGCAUUUUGCUAGCAAGGUGGAUGACCAUGAACAACAUUCAGACAAACACUAGAGCAUUUUCGGGUAAACAGCACUAGCUUAUGUCAGUAGGAAAGUUUCCUGUGUGCAUCAGCUCACAAGGUCACAAGGAUGGUUAGCAGGUCAGGACUUCAUACAAAUAACUCAACUAGCCAACUAGGCAUAAAGGAAAUAUUAGAAGUAAUGAAUGAUCCAUGUGUUCUAUAGAGCCAAUAUCUUACUAUCAGAUGACAGCACUUUAACUAUUGUUAAAACUAUCAUGCAAGACAAACCGCCAGGAGUUGGUACUUCUACUCAGAAGCAAUUGGCCAUCAUACACCAAAAAAUUAACGAUAAAGAAAUAAUGUAAUCCAAAAGGUUGACUUUGACUCAUCAUAUACUAAGUCAUCCAUGCAAUCACAAUCAUUUAUAUGACAAUCCAAACAUAUCCAAAGUCAUCCAUGAAAAAUCGCGUACAUGGUAAUGAAACAUUCAAGCUUCCUAGCAGUAGUUAAUCCAAGCUUAGAAUGUUUCUACAAAUCUACAGAGUAACUUUAAUCUGCCCGCCAGUUCUAUUUGCUUGUUUACUUUAAAGAAAGCGUUUUCCAAUCAUGUAACCAGCAUCAUAAACCACAAAGAAUGCUAGAAAGAUUGCAUAAUACACUAUGGAUCCACUGAGUAGCUAAUAAGUGAAUUCGAAGGUAAGCUGCUUAAAGGUAUUAAGUACAUAAGGGCGACAGUAAUUCCUAUGCUGAUUAACCAGUAAAUCAAGGGUAAGCAUGUAGAUCACAUUCAGUAACAGUGUAGUACCAACCUUGAAAUAUAGCACGUAUAGUACCAAAUAGAAGCAUCACUUGCACAUCAUAAUAUCAUGCUCCUGCACAUUGGCAUAUACAUAUACGCAACAAGUCUGCUACUAUAUGCAUAUAGUAAACACUUUGACAGAAAAGACAACCAUAAACAGGUCCUGAUUAUGGCUGCCAAUAUAAACUGAAGAGAAAAAAAGAAAGCAAGAGAGAAACAAGCAAACAGCAAGCACUAAACCUUACAAGAUAUCCAUUGAUGAACUUUAAGCCUCAGAAAGUUCUCUAAGCCUACCCAUUUGUUUGGAAAAUAUACAGCACACUAGUACCUUCUGGGCUUGGGAGGCUGUGAGGGCUCUUCCUUGCUAAAGAUGCCGCAGAACAAGCAGCGGGAAACUUUGGGUGAAGGUGGAUCCAUAGCAGGAGGAACAUGCCGAGUUCGAAAGGCCUGGUUGCCAGACCUGCUGCGCUCCACGCUAUCGCUGCACCUUCGCUGCACCUUUAUACUGGAUCCAACGCUACGAGAGUGCCUUAGCUCUUUGGAUUCUAAGCUACCAGCCUCUGCAUCACCAGUUGCCCUUUGAUCACUCUGGUUCUGGUCUUCAGACAUAAGCCUCCCAUCCCAGACCAAACCUGAUGAACCAGACCUCCUAAAUGUUUGGGAAGAUCUCUGGAGCCCUCCAAUCUCCAUCUCCCCUUUCUAUGGCUUCCUAUCACUGUGUGUGUGUGUGGGGGGGGGGGGGGGUGAGCACCUAGUAAGUCCUAUGGAGCAAUAAUACGGACUGCAGUAGGAGAGGAAAUGGUGCAUUCCUCAAACCUAAGAAUAUGCAAGCAUAUAAAAGGAAGGGUAACCAUAACAAAUUUCAGGAUGAGUCAGAUGAUGGUGACAAGGGGUUAAGGAGAUUGUAAGGUCUGUCUGCAUAAUGCAUUGAUGUGAAUCCAUGAAUUAUAAAAAUAGGUCCUUUGUUGCUCUGUUUGUUUACACAAGCGGUGCUAGUUGAAACACCGCCAUUUUGGUUGUAACAUUUUAAGGACUAAGGGACAUUAACCAACAGUAAAUAUUAAAUGCAGAAAAGCAACAGUGCAGCAAGUAUCAUGAGACACAAUUUUCUUUGUUUGUACUAAAAAUCACAAGGCACAGUUUUGUUUUUAAGUGCCUAUGGUCCCACCAAAGAUGCCAAGCUGUUGUCAGUGUGAAACUUCGUUAAAAUAGAUAACAGAAAAAUGUCACAAGAGUUUACCCUCCAUAGUUCCCAGCAUAUAAUUCAAAGCUGAUUUUGAAUUUUAAACAUGAUCAUUACCCACUAAAACUCACGGUGUACAAAAUAAUCCACUAUAUUUUUCUUGGAAAUCAUGUUCUGUUUGAGAAUGUCCCCACUCCACCAAAUUGAAGCAAAAUAUGCAAGUAAAAAAAGAAACAUACUUGUUCAAAUAAAAACUCACAACAGUUUUACAAAACUCAAAGGUAAAACCGUGCAUCUACAGAGUUUCAACAUUAAAACAAAGAAAGGUUAACUUCGAUAUAGCAUCAACUAGCUUUUGCUAUGCUUUCUAGAAGAUAAUGGGGUAUGUUCUGUUAUUCUAUAAUAACAGGCUUCUCCUGGUUAUUGAAAAACAUUACAUUUGUAUGACAUCUAGCUAUUGCUUGAGAUUCAAUCAUUUCUAUUCACAUGGCACAAACUGAAUAUGUACGGCACUAAGGCAGAAUGAAGGUUAGGUUACGUUAGGUAGAAGAAACUAGUAGAUGAUUCAAAAACCCCUGCGCUACUGUCAGAUGGCCAAGAAAGAAGUUACAUUCUUACAGCAAUGCUCCAUUAAACCAAGAUUUUAAGUGAUGCAAAACUGAACAUAUGGUCAAGCUGCAACAUAUUCUGCUAACAUUCUUCACAACAUAAUAGUUGUUCAUCUAACUGGUCAAAUACUAAUACAAUAUAAGCCCCUGACUUUUGAACCAACACAGGAAGAUCAUUUGCUAAAAAUAAUUAUAAAACAGAAGGCAUCAGUCUUGUCAUUAGUCCAGUUGCAAAAAUUUCAGCAUAACUUGCAGUGAGGAGGUUAUUAUCUAGAAUUAUUUUUGACCGUCACAAAAAAUAUGAAAUAUGUGAAUGUUUAAAUGCACGCAAAGUCAAUGUAGCAUCACCUUACUGUUAUAAAAAGUACAAGUUGAGAAAAUUAUCAUAAAUAAUAGCAGAACAGCAGGAGGCACUUAGGCAGGUAUUGUUAAUCCUAGCUUUUAAAGCAGCAGAGGGCAUAACCUAAGCAGCCCCAUGCAAAUAAGGCCGAUGCUUGUUCCUAAAAGUUCAUAGAUAGUACUAUCAUUUUACCACUAAAUUAAAGUCAAGAUCUUAGCAACAUGAAGUAACUAGUGGAUUAACAUCAUUUACCACUUACAAAGCAAAAUUCCUUAAUAUGGAUCCCUUCUUCAUCCGCACAUUCACUGGCAGGUUAACUCAUAAGAAUUUGUUCAAAGAAAGUUGUCACUAGACCUUCUGUGACCUUUUGACUGAAUUGCUUUCAUCCUCAAAAAAAAAAAAAAAACUGUUGGCAUCAUCCUAACCAAGUAAAGCAGAAAUCUCACUGAGCUGCACUUUUACAUAAACACUUGCUAGGAUAUGGUCACUUGCCAACAGAACUCCUACUCUUAGUCAUGAGAAGCUCGGUCAGAGAUUUGGGCCCCUCAAAAUCAUCUGAGAAGGAUCUCACAUUAGGCGUGCAAGCAGUGGAGUGGCUAAAACUUGAGUUGGAUUUACAUUUCUCUUCUUUUAUCUGAGCAAGGGUCUUCGGCCCAGUAAAAUCUGCAGUAGGAUGUUCAGAAGAUUUAGCAGAAAGAACAUGCUGUUGCUUUCCUCUAUUUUUCUUCCUCCGUCCCCUGAAAGUAGCAUGGUUAGCAGGUUGAGGACACUCUCCCAUCAAAUAAUCUUUCCUUUGACGAGUUGGCAUUGAUUCAAUCUGUUGAGUACUAUUCUUGGGUUCAAGGCAACGGCUUCUCUUAAUGCAAUCCUUCUUUCCCUUUGCACCUUUUCUAUUCUCAGGUCUUCUUUUUGAGAUGUGUCUAAUCUGGGUGUGCUGAUGAACAAAGUUAGUAUCUGCCACUGAGCUGGUGAAGUUUCUGGGAUUGAAGAACCUUCUGUCAUAUUCAUCAGAAGUGACCUCAGUAUUUUGUGGUAGUAAAUGCCCCAAAGUGAUCUCACUUUCAUGCUCAUGAGCUCCGUUAGGCUGGCAAAGAUAAAGGUAACCUUGCCGAUCAUCAAGACCACAAAAUUCUGGUUCAUAGUUAUAGUACUCUGGAUCAUGGUAAUACAUAUCAUAAAGAACUGGAUCUCUAAUACCAUAUUCUGCAUGAAGCACCUUAUUAUCACUCUCUGUAGUCAAUUGAUGUUCAAGAUCACUCUUGUUAGAGAGGCAAUCAUCCACAAGCACAUCAAAUCCAGGAGAGGAAUCACGCUCAUCUUGUUCUGUGUGGUCCAUAGUUGAAUCUCCUGAAUUAAGAUCUGAGACUGCGGAACAUUUCAUGUAUUCAUCUAUAUCAGUUGAUGUUUCAAGUGCACCGGAAACAGCUUCAGCUUCACCAAAUUCAGGAUUGAUUGACACAGGAACUUCUUUUAUAUGGCAAGAGGUAUCUUGACAGGGAUUUGUGAUAGUGUCUUUCGAUUCUUCAACCAUCUCAUCUCCAACAUAACUUUUACUUACAGCAGGAUUGGAAGUGGUAGCUUUACAAGAAGUUCCCACAGCAUCAUUAGAAGUUAGAGGCUCAUGGAGGUAGGGGCAAUUGUCACCUUUUGAACAGUGCGAGUUAUAGUAGAAAUAACAAGGGUUAGCUGCCUUGACAGAAGUAGAACACAAUGAGAGUGGGUCUGCUAAAGAUUUGGUUUUGUUUAAGUUUUCCAGUGGCUGCACCGAAAGGAGCUAAUCAGAUAACACGCAGCAACAGAUGAGCAAUGAUAACAAAAAUAGCAACGGUGUCAUUCAAAAUCACAUAGCUGGAAGAUCUAAUAAGAAGAUAGGGUUCCAAUAAUCAGUCAAAUCAUUUCAAUGCAUAACAUUAGAGCAUAAAACUGUGGACAAGAAAAUUCAAUCAAUACUUCUGAGUUACUUAACAAAGAAACGGACCAUGACCAACCACUCAUGGUUGUAGUACUGAAAUACCAAAACUUGAUCUCUUAUUUGUCCAUUUGGCUCACUAACAUAAACAGAGACAAAAAAAAAGAAAAAGAAAGUUGGGUCAAUUGGCCCUUUGUUCCUGAAUUUUCCUCAUUAGAUGAGAGCAGUGGCCUCCAAACCGUCGGGGGCACAACACAAAAUAAAACUACACUGCGACUCAUGUGAAACAAAAAAUUUCAUAACAUCAUCGCUAUGGCUAAACUGGCAGACAGGCCCUCAUGCAAGAUGGACUCAAGGGUUGGAGCUGUACAUGGUGGCAUCAGGAAAUGUACAAUUGUUAGUAUCAAGCAAUUGCUCACAGGCAGACAUGUUAUCCCAGAACCAAGUCAUCUUAUCCCAACAUUUUCCUCAAGUUUCGUGGUUCUUCCCCCAUCCAAGUUAACACGAUAAAUGUACAACAAUGGCAUCAAUCACCACUAAUAACUAGCAAAGCAAAGUAUGAAUCCUUGGCAUCCGAUACGAAGCGAAGGGUAUCGAACCGAGUGACCGCGGAUUACUCACGGGGUGACGAAAUGUGCAGCUCGGGUUGACGCAGUUGCCCUUGAACCAGUACCAGCAAUUCCGGCGGUUGAACCGGGCGCCAUCGGCAUGGCGGUACUCGCACUUGGACCCCUGCAACCAAAAACCCACGCGCUCAAUACGCGGCGCGCUCCGGACGGAUGAUCAACCAGCGGCGGCAUCCACCGCCAUGCCGGAAACGCGGAAUCCGUGAGAAGAAAAAAAGUGAGCUAGGGUUUUGGGGAAGUUGGGUGGACUAGUACCUUGGUGCAGGUGAAGGGGGAGGCGAGGAAGUAGACGCAGUCGGUGUUGCACCUCCUCCAGCGCGGGUCCUCAUCGCCCUCCGCCGCGGCCGCCAUUGCUCCACUUCCUCUCUCGGCUCUCCUCUCCUCUCCGCGGGAGGAGGGAUGAGGAGGAGGCGGCGGCGGAGGAAAAGCGGAGCGCGACGGCCGGGGAGGAAUGGAGUGGUGGGUCCCUCUCGGUUUUUGAACUUGUCGAUGCGUGGAGUGGAGCCGUGGAGCAGUUGAACCGGCAGUCUCUCUGUGCUUAGAAUGCCGGUGGGUCACGCUCCUAAAUUUUUCACCUUUUCUCACAGAAAACUUAUUUUAGGCCCUAUUUAGUCCCCACACAAAAAUUUUAUACCCUAUCACAUCGAAUGUUUGAACACCUACAUUGAGUAUUAAAUAUAGGCUAAAAAAUAACUAAUUAUACAUAUUGCGACUAAUUUGCGAGAUGAAUCUUUUAAGCCUAAUUUCUCCAUCAUUUGACAAUGUGGUGCUAGAGUAAACAGUUGCUAAUGACGGAUUAAUUAGGCUUAAUAAAUCCAUAUCACGGUUUUACUAACGGAUUCUGUAAUUAAUCUUUUUAUUAGUGCCCGAACACCCCAUGCGACACUCUAUAUAAUACCCGAUAUGACACGCCAAAACUUUACAUCCCUGGAUCUAAACACCCCCUUACAAAUAAAUCAAUAAAAAGUAAUUCUAUAAGUGGAUACUAUUCACAGUUUUCACGGCGUUAGCGUCAUUAACGCCGUCUGUUCCCUCACGCCUCCCCUCCCCCCCAAUUGAAGCUAAAUUACUGAUGUGAAUGGAGAUGCGCUAAUGUCAUUUGCACCGAUAACCUAUUUGUAGUUCUUUUGAAACAUAACCUAUUAUUUUAUUACAAAUAGAUCUUCAGCAUCAAUUUCAUUGGCAUUGAGUUAUUUACAAAUAGAUAUUUUUUGAAUAUUUUUUACAAAUAGGUCUUCGGCGUCAUAACAUUAUCACCAUCUUCUUCCAAUUAGUGACUUGACUUCCACGGUAGACAAGAAGGAUGACGCCAACAUCAUUGAUACUGUCAUGUUAGCUCAUGGCGCUAAGGAAUUUGACGCCACGAAAAGGAUCCAUUUCUAAAAGGGCAAUAUAAGUUUUUCAAAAGAAACCUCUGGCCUAUGUGGGUCAAUUUGUCGUGUCCUCCCUCCCUCCCUCCCUCCCAGAAAACUUAUUUUGGAAAUUGUUAUCUUCUUCAGCUAUGCUGGCCGCAGCAAAAAAAAAAAAAUUGAUCCAAUCAUCAAGUAAUACUGUGUCUUCCCUGGAUUGAGAUCGAAUGAGCUGAUGGCAGACGCUACGUCUUGAGUUCCCAGAAUAACAAUGACAUGCAAGCAAUGCUGUUUACACAAUGUCAUUGGGCAGGAGAAAAUCAAUCCAAUUUACGCUUAUUAACCGCGAGGAAAAAAAAUCAUCCCUCAAUAUGCUGAAACGAGAGGUGAUACAGCUAUGGAUUCGCAAUGACAAAAUUUCUCCAACCCCAAAUAUUUCAGUAUCCAUCUAAAUCUCAUUUUCCAUCUAACAAAAUGGAGGUACAUGCAGUUAGCGAUGACAACUCUUCCUGCGUCGCAGAUCCGAAACCUUGCCACCUCACUCUUCCGAGGCGAUCAACCAGGUAUAUGUACCUGCAGUAGAAGAGUUUGAACAAAGGGAGAGAACAAAACAUAUAAACGAAGGGAAGGAGGAAACAUCGCCCAGUAUGUGGUAACCAGGACCUUUACAUCUAAAGUUUGCCAAACGAACAACGGGAAGGAAGAAACAUUACCCAGUAAGAAGGUUAAGGAUAUGAAGCUUCUUCCUGAAAUAAUAGUGGUCACCAAAGGCAUAUACAGCAUGUCUCUGUGGAUUGUUGGAUUUUGUCAUCACCUUGAGGAAUACUUGUCUCACAGGACUUGAUGAUAACAGCCAUGAAUCAAUAAAUGAGACCUGAACCAUAGUUUUUUUUUCCCUUUCAGUUGCAGCCAUGUGUAAUGUACAUAAAUUUCCUCAGCAAUAUCAAAAGUUCUAAAUUUAAAAUUGCCAAGUAUUAGCAUGGUCGGCUUGUCGUGGUAUUCCAUCACAAAUUACAAUAUUAGUACAGGGUUCCUUUUGUGUUGACAGUUAACACGAAUUAAUUGUAAAGUGUAAACAUGGGCAUAGAUUGAAUAUUUGAAUUGCAUAAAAAAUGAACUCGUAAUACUCCCUCCGCCUCAAACUACUGGUUAGUUUGUCCUAAGUCAAACAUUUAUAUCUUUGGCCAUCAAUUUCUAGAAAUUCAUAUAGUAUAAUAUCAUAGGAUUUCUAUUUUUAGAUUCAUCAUGAGAAAUACUUUCUAAUAUAUAAUUCACAUGCUAAACUAUACGAAUUUCUAGAAAUUUGAUGGUCAAAGAUAGAAAUGUUUGACUUAGGAUAAAGCUAGAAUGACAAGUAAUCUGAAACAGAGGGAGUAACAAAAACUACACAUUAUGGCACUAUAGUAUAUUUGCAACCCGAGAUCAUCCAAGUGAAAUGGAGAGGAGAGCUAAACAUAGAAGCAGAUACAAUCUGUUCUGUUUAUUUCUCUAAUCUAUAACUAUCAGGUUUAUGUACUUAUGUAAUAUUGUAGGACAUGUCAAACAUCAUUUAACUAAUUAUGUUCCUCCUUUUCUCAGUGGUGAUUCGCAUGGACUUAUGGCAUAAGGCAGUUCACAGCUGAUAACCCAAAUUAUGUUCAAAUACCUCAUACACUUGAAUAUUCCCAGCAGAACUAAAUGCAUCAAGAAAAGGUAGGCUCCACGUUUCUGCCAUUUUCUGUUGAACAGGAGGAAUCUAGUUAGCCAUAGAACAACUGAGUGUAUAAAAAAUCAAACAAAAGAUCAACAAGAAUGGAAUUGGCAUGUAUGAAAAUAGCAUAAAACCCAGUUGGUUGAACAUGCGUAGUUGUAGUUAUCCAUUGGAAUGCUUGAUGCAUUUGUCCUUUUAGAACCAGAUAGUAAUAGUUAAUUUAAUUCCAUAAACUAUUUCGCUGGAGUAAUUAAUCCCCUGAUUAUUUUUCAUCCACUUUGCUCAACGAACUAUUAUACCAGGUCACUACUUUGCUAAUGAAUUUUGUCUUCUUUUCUAAUUAUCAGGUUUUCACUUUAAUCAAAAUGUUGUGGGAUGACGGACGGCGUCACAGCGCAUGUUACAAAAAUAAUUUCAGAGUUUUUCAUGUCUGUUUUAGAGGAGUCCUUUUUUUUCCUUUUUUUUUUGGGGGGGGGGGAUGAACCUUAUGCAGAAGAGAGAAAAAAACUGAGCAUAGACAACAAGAGAAACGGAAACAUUAUAGCUUGAUCUAGUUUGCCAAUUUAAGUGGGUAAGAGAACCAGAAAUGACAUCAUUUUUGUUAUAGCAAGGCUUGGCUCAAGUUAGCGAAGCUAUUGUGAAAGAGAUAAUCCAAGAAAUGCCAUUGACAAGCGUCCAAGUCCCAGAAAUGCCAUCGACAAGUGUGAGUUCCAAGAAAUGCCAUCGUACAAACGACUUUGUCCCAAAAAUGCCAUCGCCGUUAGGGUUCCGUCCAUUUUACACCGUUAAAUACACUGUUCAUCCUAUAGAACUUAACGGCGCAAAAUGGAUGGAACCCUAACGGCGAUAGCAUUUUUGGGACAAAGUCGUUUGUACGAUGGCAUUUCUUGGAACUCACACUUGUCGAUGGCAUUUCUGGGAUUUGGACGCUUAUCAAUGGCAUUUCUUGGAUUAUCUCAUUGUGAGAUGUUAACUACAGGUUGAUCUUAAAUUUGCUAAGAGAAAAUAUGCAUUUAACAAACCCAACCAAGUGUUGCUCUUUUCUUUUUAAAAUCUAGAGGCUGCUCUAACAGCAGCUGUGCAAUAUUCAAAAUUUUUUUUUUGAGGAACACUAUUAAAAUUACGAAAUACAACCAUCUAAACCAGGAGCUUUAAAUUUCAGUAGGUAAAAUGUUCAUGAGAAAUGACAAACAUUAAGAGGCAAAACAAAGAUUAUUUCUGUACAAACCCAUUGGUACACAUUCAAGACAUACACUAGUCCAAGUGCUUACAAAAAUGGAAAGACAAUUAAACAAGCUAUUCAUUAACUCCUGACUUUAGUAAAGAUAUAAGUACAUCUCGUUGAAUCAUAAUGUGGGUGUCUAGCAAGUACUGUAUGACUGAAAAGCACAACCUCGUAAGCCAUGAAGCGUGUAUCAAAAAGUGCAAGCAAGCCAUAUACGACAACGAUGGGAACAGAUAUCUGAUAUACAGAUGGGAAAUCCGUAAAUGAAGAUAUAAUUCACCAUACCUGGGAGCUUGCGCGAAAGGAAAGGCACACCAAUGAAGCAUCAGGAACCACCAUAUCACCAGCCUUACAAUCAUCAUUUUGUGUGUCCACUGUAUUGCCAGUCUGGGGAUCAUCGUUUCGCGGAGGUGCGACAAGCGGCAAAUUCACUGUCCUGCCAUCAGGGGACUUCACAGAAAGAUCAGGGAACUUCACGGCUGCGAUUUCCGGAAUGAUGAUCUUAUUCGCUGUCGCAAGCUGCACAAUCCACGCCACAACGAAGAGUUGAUUAAACCUCAUCAGCAGCUAAAGAUGACGGACAUCUCUACCCAGCAUUGCAACAUAAACACAGUGAAACAGAAUAAUCUUUACGACAACAUAUGCACACCUUGCCGCCGUUCUUGCGUAUCUCUGCGAUGUCGGCGAAGUACCCCCUGCUCAUUUCAUCCAUACUGCACUAGAACAACAGUUAAGAGAGAUCUUAAACAUCACAAUUCACACAUUUGCUCCAAAAAUUCCAUGCAGUACUAGCCCCGAUUGCCAAAGGUAGUGGAAGUAGCCUUACAGCCUGGCCUUAUCCUUCUCCUUCUUCUCGAUGGUCUCCUUACUCGCCUUCUACCCACCACCAAAAAAAAAAAACACAACCACCCCAACCCAUCAGCCGCCGCUGCAGAGAGAAGCAAGUAGAGGAUGAGACACCAGAGAGGCCAUACGAACCAUGUUGAGGCCGAGGAAGCCGCGCGCGAAGACCGCGCGCGCGGCGAGCGAAGCCUCGCCAGAGCUAGCGCGGCGCAGCAUCCCCGCCGCCCACCGUGCCCUCAUCAUCGCCGCCGCCGCCGCCGAUCUAACCGGUGAAGAGGAGGACGGAGUAGUAGUAGUAGUUUACAUGGGCCGCCGGCUAAUCUCGUUAUGGGCCGAACAAACAAAAAAAAAAUUCAACUUUACGCUAUCGCAGUUAGAAGACGUAAAAUAACUUUACGUAUUCGCUUCUGUUAUUGUGCCCGUGGUGAUAGAAACCGCCGAUCCGGAUUCCAAAACCGGCGGCGCAAAUCACAAGCGAAGCAAAGCAAAACACGCCUUCGCCUUCGAUUCGAUUCUUCUCCACUCCGGCCAUGGCGUCCGCCGCGUCCUCCUCCUCGUCGUCGACUCAAUUCGAGUAAGCCCCCCUCCCCAAUCUCAUCCUGCUCAAAGAUCUCUCGCAUCUCACGCGUCGGUGCGCUUGAUGCAGCGAUGCGGCGGCGAGGCGUCAGCAGCAGCUGCAGCAGCAGCGGAAGCCGCCGUUGCUGAUGCUGCUCCCGCUCAUCUACGCCCCGGUGCUCCCCCUCAGUACGGAAUCGCGAACCCCUGUGAAAUUCGUGGUUUGUUUGCUCGGAUGAUCGUGCUGCUGAUUUAGGGUUUGCGGGGUUUUUUUUUUUUUCGUUGUGAACAGUUAGGAUUGGGUUGCGGCACAACCCGGUGUGGAGGGAUCGCCUCUUCUACGGCGUCCUCGCCGGCGCGUUCGCCCACGGCACCUACCUCAUGUAAGUGUUUGCUACAUUGCGCACCCGAGCUCCUGUAUGCAGCUAUGCACCGUGUAUUUGCUUGUGAUGGUUCAUGUUCAUGUAUGAUUCGUCAUUCAUGUACAAUGCCAGGUUAUUGUGAUUGAUAUCUCCCUGGUUUUAUUAGCUGUCUGAUAUGCACGAGGUAAAGCGAUGUAUUGUUCUGAUUACUUCGAAGGGGAUGUGUAUGUGUUUGUGCCUAGUUGUUAUCGGUGAGGCUUCUCAGAAAGGGUGUAAUUCCGUUAGAAUACGAUAUGGCAGCUGUUGAGUUUUUCAGCACGUGUAGUAUGUAUAUAUGGCUAAUAUAUCUGUUUGUUAAGUAGUAGUAUAUAUGAUAGCUAUGCAAUGACCUGUUCUCUGUUUUCUCUAAUACAAAUGCUUCACGCGGACUGUUGUACCAUAAAUGAUUUCAAUGUCUGCCGCUUGCCAAAAAUCUGUAGUUGUGAUCACUGCAAAGGAACUAUUUUUAGUUCUUCUCCCAUGCUCACAGAAAACCUUGGGGGAAGAUUUUUGGAACUCAGUACACAACAACAGUUUUAUAUUGCUUUGAGUAUAACCAAAAUUGAUGUGAUUGGGUGACUUGGCGAGUCAGCCAUUACUGAUUAAGCACAUGAAGCAUGGAUUCUUUAGUAGAAUUUAAUCUCAGCAAUCUUGACAAUCAACUAUGGUGGUAUAAUCUUCUUUACAGUUUUUUCCCCCGAUUACUGCAAAGGGAAGACUUGAUGUAUUUGCGCCUACUGCCUAGUUUUCACUUAGGAUGUUACUAGUAAGGGUUGUGAUAUUUUGGCAAUGAAUUGACUUGUAUCACAACACUUGAGUGCUUGUACCUUCAUAAUGUGAGUUUGAGCAUGAGGAAAGGUAGAUGCAUCCAAUCGUAGCAGUAUUUUGUUUUCUGCUUCAACCGAGUUGCUGCACAUGGUUUCUGCCAUUAUAUGGUUCCAGACUUUUUGGGGCUUACUAAUGUAAUACUGCUGUGGAAGUGUGGAGUUGAGGUCACUGCAGAGAAAUUUUAGUCUAGUGUAUAUCCACUUUAGAUAUGAAUUUAGUAAUUGAGUAUUGACAGAUUUUAUAUAAAAGAAGGAAGUUUGGGCCUAAAUAACUACUCCCGCCGUUAUUAAAUGUUUGCUGCUGUUGACUUUUGGGCAUGAUGUUUGACCGUUCAUCGUAAAUGUGCAAAAAUAUAAGGCAUGCUUAAAGUACUUUUAGUGAUAAAACAAGUCACAACAAAAUAAGUGAUAGUUUUUUGAAUAAGACAGAUGAUCAAACGUCAUGUCCAAAGAUCAACAUCACUCAUACAUUUGAAAAUGGAGGUAGUAGGCCAUAAUUUUGGGCAUGUUACUGCUUGAUUGUGGUGAUCAUUUGAUCUCUGCACAAAUCUAUUCUUCAUAUCAUGCUAGAGGUUGGGUUAUUGAAGCCAUAAAUAUUCAACAAUAUGUCAUUAUGGUGAGCCUGUCAUGUUUGAUGGUGAGGCAAAGAAUUUUGUUGUUGACUUGUUUGAUGCCCUUCCAAUGUUUUUAAAACUUGUUCUAUCCCUAUCAUUGAAGUAAGCAGAUAUACCUUCUUCGCAAGGAUAAGCAUAGGUUACUCUAACGCCAUAACAGAGGGAUCUAUUGGGAUGUUAAUUAACGUAAUUCACAAUAGAUGUGCUUAUCUUCUUAUCUUUGAUGUACUUUCAGAUCGGAGCUAUAUGACGUAGAGAGCAAGUGAAUCAUAUCUCUCCAAGUAUAAAGUCAAGGGUAUCCAUCGGCAGAUUUUGACUUGAUUGUAAGUCAUCAACUGUUAAUGAGAGCUGUCCGGUUUUUCAGGUUGAUAAAAUGGACCAUGUAUCUAUCAUUUUUGUUAAUCCAUUUAGGCUUUUAUGGUUGCUGUAAUGAUAGAAUAUUGGAGCACACAUAAUAAUUCUGACUCUGGAGCAACAUGUCCGGCAUUUUUUUCCAAUUUGAUGCACUUGUGUUUUCCUGCUUAUAUUGAUUUGUCAUAGCCACCCUAUUUCUAUUCUAUCCAACAAAAAAUAUUUUUCUUUUCCCCUUUUAUUUAUAUGUAGCUAUAUUUCAAAGGAGAGCAGUUUCAACAUGUACGAGUAAUAUGAGAUCGCUCUUAUCAGGCCAUGUUUAGUUGGCCUGUGUGAUGUGCCAUUUUGUCCAGCUGAUCACGUUGUGCUGUGUUGCUCUUAACUCCUUGGUCUUGACGGUACCAAAAAUUAAUCCUAGAUGCAGAUUAUUAAUAUCUGUCUAUACUGAUGAAAGAAACGGGAACUUUGCCAAGCAGCAGCUGUUAUAUAUGCAUGCACUGGAUGGAUAUUUCCUUGAGCUCCCGUUGGACAAGAAAUGGUUUGAGCUCCCGUUGUUUCCUUGCUACCCAUGAGGCCAUGACAUAUCGACAUGCCCUUCCUUGCAAGUUCCUAACAAUUUCUACAAAAAGGAACAAUGAUUAAACAGAAGGAUUCCAAGCCUUCCUGUUCACUCCUGUCUGAAGCUUUUCGAGGUGUUUAGCAAGAGAGAAGAAAGUCACUGAUAUAAAAGCAAUUGAUCAUUUUUAUCACCCUAAUUUUAUCCAAACUAACAAGCGUAUCAUUAUGCUAUAAGCACAUUGUCGUAGGCAAUGAACACAAGAAUGAUUCCAUGUUGGCUAUAGCUGAAGCAUGGUCACAUUAGUUGAGGCAGGCUUUGCAGGCUGCUAAUAAAAUACGAUUUGGCCAAAGCUAAACAAAGCUGCCGCACGCGAUGGCCGGCCGGCCACUUGCCAACCAGUUGAACAUUUUUUUCAUUCUGCAAUCAGGAUUAUAUACUGAACAUGGAGUAGAUUACUCACGGGCAUCACUAUAAACGAGUGAUUAAAUUAAUCAAGGCAAAGUACGGCGAUGGCUAUUACAAACAGAUGGAGGUCAGAUUUGAUGCGAUGCGAUGCUUCACGGGAGGCUUCGUGUGUCUGCCUUUUGAGUAUAGAUCUGAAAUCUUGGGUGUAGGAUUGAGAGCAACGGGUUUUUUGAAGGAAUUUUGUAGAACUUGAACUAAAUUUGUGUAGAACUUCUGUAAAUCUAAAUCUAACGUGUUCGUUUUCAAUCCUUGGUGUUGGGAUUGAGAGCGACCAAGUUUUUGGAGGAAUUUUAUAGAACUUUGAAGUAAAUUUAUGUCAAAAUUCUGCAAAUCGAAGUCUAGUGUGUGCUCGGAAAGAUCAGUAAAGCGUAACGAGGAGAUGGUUUGGAUUGCAGCUUCACGAUGGGGACAAUAAACAGAUAAUAUAAUCAGUGUAGCAGCAUUAUUAUUCCGUUUGUUCGGGAUUAGUUUGUACUAUUAUUGUUGCUGAUGCCUGAAAGGGACAUGUAAUUGAUAAGCCUUACAAAAUGAACCUAACAAUACAUCUCAGAAUGGUGUGGUAGAUAUCACAAGUUCACAACCUAAUAAUAAUCAAAAUGAACCUAACAAUACAUCUCAGAUUGGUGUGAUAGAUAUCAAAACCUAAUAACAAUCAAAAUGAACCUAACAAUACAUCUCAGAUCUAUUUAAGAUCAUCAUCGGAGAGCACCUUUAAUCCGUAAUUAAUCAAAAUCACACCACACUAAAUCCGCAAUUAAUCAAAAUCACAACACAAACUACAAUACUCAUAGUGAAAUUGCUGAGACAUGGAUUGGAGAUCAGAAUUGGAUCCAAUCGAUUGGAAAUGAGCAGUACAACAAACCUAAUGGAUCUGAUGCAUCAUACUUCGCCACAAGCGAGUAGAUCUAUCUCAGAUCCAGAUUACAUUUCAUCUCGAGAUUACAAUUCGGGAGAAAACGCAAGAAAAAAAAAAGCAGAGAUGGAUGGAAGCAAGGGAUCAAUCCUAAAAACCAGAUCCCUUCUAAAUUCUUCUAAAUUUCCUCCGCAACGAGACGAAUCCCACCCCGGAUUUUAUAUACACGCCAUCGCGGCGACGUCGCGAGCUGUGGGCUCCAUCUCCCUCCUCCGGUGGCGGCGGCAGCGGCGCGCCUAGGCGGAGCGGGCGAGGCGGGAGGCGAUGGCGGAGUGGUACAUGGCGUCGUGGAAGCUCUCCGUCUCCACCAUCCUUGCGCGCAGCUCCCGCGCCUUCUCCUCCGUCAACCCGCCCACGAAC
rnacentral:lncRNA from 1 species